UUUUUUUUUUUUUUUUUUUUGUUGCAUGCAAUAGAUUCUAUACUACGCCUACUCUUACUCUAUACUAAGGGGAGGGAGGACACAAGGGAUAAGGGGUAACACUGAGCAUACUUUGGCUGACUGGGGUAACGAGUCCUAUUUACCUGUUUAUUUUUACUGCUAGUUUUAAUGUAGCAGCCCUCCAUGGUGGGCUACUUUUGAUCCAUCUGAUACUUCAUUGUCCUCUAGAACUUUUUUUUUUUUUGGUCGACACAGGGGUGUCUGGGUCAAUGUUUACGGGGCCUGACUAAUCCCCUGCGGCCCGGGAGAGGAGGCCCCACUCCACACCGAACACGUUAACAGCGAGACUCGAACCCUGGACAAGUCAGGAAGGUCGCCAUACCUUAAGGAGGGGGAGCGGACCGCUCGAGCUACCCCGCGGGAACAAAGACCAGUCACGUAGAGUGACAAGUUGUGGGAGGUAAGGGUUGAAUCCCUAACCUCCAGCAUCCCCAAAGAAGGGGAUGACCACCGGACCAAAUGGCUAGUGGCUCCUCUCGAACUUACCUUCCCUUACAUUUCACUGGAUGCACGUUUAUUUCAUUAUGUUUCUAAAAUUUUGUCAUCUGAUAAGAGUUAGCAAUUGGGUAAAGUUAAAAAAAUAUGUAAAGACAAAGGACACUUGUCUUGGAAAUAGAAGUAGAACUAGCCCAAGAAUAUCCGUGUUUUUUGGAUUGUUUUUCAAAAACUUUAUUACAGUUGUGUAUGUGAAAAAUUUUCUAUACAUAAAUCGCCUGGAUUCCGUGUUCUUAAGGGUAUACUAAAGAGUCGAUAAACUCUAUCCCGUGGCAAAGUGACUUAGAAGCUCUAUCGACUAUCAAGAGCAAGAGUUAGAUCCAAAUAAGCCAUUAUUCAUUAAUAAAACCGCGUUUCACUCGUCCUUGUGAUGACUGAUGUACCUCAAAUAAUUAGAAGCUUUUGUCGGCUGAUGGACCUAGCUGGAGAAUCUGCAAUUUGCAAACCACCAAUCUCUAAUCUCUUCCAGGAUGUUCCACAUAUUGACAUCACGAUAUCACGAGGUUUGUCUCGUUGCAUACAAAACAAUCCUACCAAAGUUUGUAUUAAAUUUUAAAUAAAUCCACCGUAAGAAAGAGUGGGUGACAUCUUUAGGUUUUUCCAUAAUAUGCCUAGAGGCCUAGUAUCUAGAAAGUGGACAGCUAGGUCGAGCCUCUUUUGGUCAAAAUCCCCUCAGGGCAAAUAAGAGGUCUCUUUGAUUCCUUGCUGCACCCCUCUGUGAAGAGAUGUUUGCAUUUGUUUGGUUGAUGGUUUUGGCAUAUGCCCAGCUGGUGGGCACUGAAAACCUAAACACCACUGGCUAUCCUUCACGAGUUCGCAGCAUCUUCUUAUUGGCCGGACAAAGCAACAUGUCCGGCAGAGGCGGCGUAAUGAACGGCACCUGGGACGGCGUCGUGCCUCUUGAGUGCCAACCCAAACCGUCCAAGAUUCUCAGGCUUAGUGCUGGACUAAGCUGGAUGGAGGCUCAGGAGCCCCUGCACAGGGACAUAGAUGUGAAUGCAACAUGUGGGAUUGGACCAGGAAUGGUGUUCGCCAAUUCGUUGCUGAAUCUGAAUCCCAGAAUUGGGGUGAUUGGUUUGGUCCCUUGCGCCGUCGGAAGUAGGAUGGGUACCAAGAUUAGCGAGUGGGGCCGUGGCACCUACCUCUACAACCAGCUACUGAGGAGGGCCGCAGCCGCAGCCGCCCUGCAAGCUGGUGGUAGAUUUAGAAUCCGAGCACUUCUGUGGUAUCAAGGUGAAAGUGAUACUAACAAUCCACAGGAUGCAUCAUUGUACAAGAUGAGAUUGGAAAGAUUUUUCACAAAUCUGCGUGCUGAUCUCAAAUUACCAGAACUCCCGAUCAUUCAGGUCGCACUGGCAUCAGGACAAGGGCCUUACAUUGAUGCAGUAAGACAAGCUCAGUUUGGAGUUCACCUUCGAAAUGUGAAAAUUAUUGAUGCCAAAGGGUUGCCAAUGGAGCCGGAUAACUUGCACCUUAGUAGUCCGGCGCAGGUCCAGCUUGGUGACAUAUUCGCCCAUGCUUUUGCUGCUACUGGAUGAAUCAAAUAUGUUAAUUUUAGCUCGAAAACGAGGAGGUGCCAGGCAUCGUCUAUCAUGCUUUAGUCAGCUUUAUAAAACUGAGAAUGUUAUCCACAUCCUUUUUCCUUUUGUUGCAUUAAAGAUGUGCUUGGAAUUUUACUCCCGAUUUUCAUUCGAGCAUACCAGUUGAGUCCGCUAAGUGUUACUCUUCUCUUUUCUUUUUCGAGUUUGUUCUUAAGUUUGCAUGAAUCUAGCAGAACAGAGUCAAAACUCUAAUAGUUGGAUACAGAAGAUACAACUCUGCAAUUCAACCAUCCCUCAUGCAAUGUGUGCAUUUAAACUGAGCGAGAAAGCACGAAGCAGAUGUUGUGGGUUUAUAUUUGCCAUAUGGGUUUAUAUUUGUCCUGGAACACCGAAACACGAACCGACGAAGUGAAAGAAAAUCUAUAUAGCAUUAUUCUCCAUUCCAUUUUUCUCCUUUUCCCUUUCUUGUUUAUCAAUCUGUGACCGGAAUUCUUUUGUUCUUUUUUCCUUUUUUUCGCUAUGAGGGGAGUGAUAGGGGUGGGGUUGGGGAACCCAAGCCUGUUGUUACCUUCAACAUAACAGCUCAAUAAUCACAACAAAGCAUCGACAAAAAUAAGUAUAUGAAAAACACUGAACGAGCACAAUGCAGUAUUAGACAAGUUAUUAGUCACACAAUUCACGCAGCGGCCAGAGUUUUCAUAUGUUCUUUAGCAUAUGACGAGUUGACGACCCACACAAGCUACUAACAUCAAUAUCUUUUUCUCGAGGAGAAUGCUUUGCAUAAGAUCCAUUCCAUGUUUCUGAUUGCAGUAGAAUACACCUGCAGGCCAUAAAAGACAAUACUUAAAAUACCAAAGCAUUUAAUGGGAUACAAACGUCAUGGAGUACCAUGGUCAGUUUACAUAAAGCUUUAAUGUUAACUUGGCAAAAACACAAGCGUAUGCAUCUCAUCAAACAGAUCCUGAAGCUUUUAUCAAAAAAACAGAUGUAACAGAGCAAGAAACACUUUUCAGGUCACAUCUACAUUUCAUUCGAACCCUACUUCCAAACAACUAUUCUUCAGAUUAUGAGAAGCAUCUAAGACAAUAAAUACUACUGUUAUCUGGUUUUCACACUUAGAACCCAAGUACGCUAGGCAUAUCUAGCAUAAACAAGAAUUGAAAAGUUAAAAUGGUAGCACAAAAUACACAAAGUGACAAGAGCACCUCAGCGGUAGUUAAAGAAUAGGAACAACUUCACAUAGACAAAGAUAAAAGUGAAGACGUGUAGUCAUCGAAGUAUGUAAUUUGGACCAAGUUAUUAACUUCAAUUACACCCAAAACCCCCGUCUCACCAAAAAUCACCUCCAUGAAAUGCCAAGAACACCAUCUUCUCAAAAUCCUUUAGCUUUUAAGAGUUUAAAAGCAAAAUUAGAAGCCAAAAAAUUUAUACAUAGCACAGAAACAAAAUUCAAAGACACACAGAGAGAAAUCUACACCCAUGCAACCCGCAUAUUGGGCUCUGCCUUUGUUCAGAACCUCUACAACGAUAUCCCUCUAAGGGAACGGACACAGAAAAAGGGGGAAAAACUUAAUGAUGCUCAUAAAGCAAAGCUACAAGUACUAGACCACUUUGGACAAGUGAAUGCAUGCUUAAUUUCUAAAAUAACAGCACGAGAGCCAGGUGUUGAUGCAACAUUCCACCUCAAGGCAACUAGCUAUGACCUUCAUUAACCAUGACCCUCGAUAACCGUUAGAAAGACCUUUAUCAGAUAUACAGAUUGCGAGUAUGUUUCGAUGGUUUGACUUCUUUCCUCAUGUUAAACGAGAAUAUUCACAUGAAAAAUAUCAUCCCCCAACCCCAACUGAUCUUCUUGGCCUGUUCAAUCAUUGCAAUGAUGUUGCACAGCCUAAUAGAAACGCAAGCCCAAGCACAAUACGGACAAUAUCCACAAAUAACGCUAACGACUGGUAAUAGCCUGACAACAAUUAAACAUAACUGCAAGUUCCAUACUACCCAUUGAUUACAGAAUACAUCAAUUAAAACACAUGGGCAAGCUACCCAAAUACAGCUCAUGUAUAACCCAAGAUAAUCAUGAUUGACACUCCAACUCACGCCAGACCUAAAUUUCGCAAAACAAAUCAUGCCAAUUCUAAAAAAUUGCCAAAGCUCAUUUAACUUAAAGCUUCAAGAACAGCGCAAAAGCUAAUUAUCUAAUAAAAAAAAUCCAAUAAUUCGAAGAAAAAAGUACAAAUACGCAAUUUUACUAAGAGAAUAUCAUCUUAGAAACAUCCACCGUUGAAACGUAGCAUUAAAAUUUCAGACAAAAUCAGAACCGAGAAGACGAUCCAUCAAUAGCGAAUUCGAACUAGAACUUACAAGUAAAGUACAAUGACAUAGGGAUAAGGAUGAUCUAAUUGUAGUAGAGCUCGAGGCCCAUGCCGUCAUGGAUUUCAUAAUCCUUGAGGGUAAUAUGGUCCUUGUAGGUGGUGUACCACUUCUGGAUACGGAUUUUAUCGGCUCGAGUUCCAGUCUGAGCUGCCACCAGCUUCUUCAGGUCGCCGAUCGUGUCAUCCUCGUUGCACUUCACUCGGACCUUCUUCCCCAGCCGAUCGUUCAGCACCACCUCGAUCAUCUUCUUUUUUUGUCAGCGGUUCCCUGCAAACCCUAACCCUAAAGCUAUCUUCUGCUCAGGAUGAUCGCAAUUCUGAAUCCUGCUGGUCAAGUCACCCUUUUAUAUAGAGAGAUGGAAUUGAAAUUUCGGGAAUAAUAAUAAUAUUCUAGGAAGUACCAUGGGCAGUUUUGUACUUUCAAUAAGCGAAGUUUGGCAGUUGAUUUUAAAAAAUUUUGUUCGUGGAUAUUGGUUUAUUAGCUAAGCCUAUACGGCAAAGAAUAACUACAGCAAGCUUCUCUAACUUUUGGUGUUACUUUCACAUUCUUCCCUAAUGUUCUUUUUUUUUUUUUUUUAAUUGUACUGUCCUCAUCUAUUAAGUCAUAUCAAUUUGUACUCUUUAAAAAUGUCUAAAGCUUCACUUUUACCCUAACUUCAUUUUGCUUGAUUCUUCUUUCACUUUCGAAGUUUCUCAUAACGCAUUUUUUGUGAUGCAAUGUUUCUUUUGAAGAAAUAAAAAUGUUCCCAAAAAAAAAUUCUACUUCUACAAAUUUGAAACUUCACUACUAUUGAAUAUAUUCUUCCUCAAAUUAUAAACAUCAAUAACAAUACGUAAGAUGCAAAUGUGGUGAAAUAUGGCUCAUAUGCAUCUCGCAUACAUUUGAAAUUUUUGAUAAUAAUUUUUUUGUUGCUAAAAUUACUUGGCAUUCUUUUUUGGUAAUUAUUUUAUAAAUUCUUUUAUUAGAUGAAAUAAUUUUAUUUUAAAAUUUAUCGUAAAAUCCAUGGACAUAUGAUUUUUUCAGGUGGUUGAAUCCCAAAUUUAAAGACAUUAUCCUGAAACUAUAUAUAUAUACACACACACAUAUAUUUAUAUAUAUAUAUAUAUUCUUUUCAAAUAGGUGCUUCUGGUAAUUAUUUCUUUGAAGUCAUUAAUAUAUCUUACCUAGACUGUUUGUGUUGACCAUCAAUGAAGGAAAAAAGUAUAACAAAAAUAAAAACCCGUGAAAUCAUAGAAGAUUGAGAUACAACCACGUCUUACAAAAUAUGUUGAUAUAAUAAAUAUACCGUCCAAUCACAUAUUAUUUUUUACAGAGCUAGAAUUUGUUCUUUAAUCCGUUUCUAUGUCCCAAUGAAGAUCAAGGGGUGUAUGAGGACCGCAAUUGAUCCUUUGGACAAAAAGAAAAAAAAAAAGAUAAAAGAAUCAAGUACAAGAAUCCUAUCACUGAAAUAGUAAAAUCCCAUGCAUCUCUCUUUUCAUAUAUUAUGGUUGCAGCGGUUUGAUUUUAGUGGCAUCACAAUUAUUUCUUCUCGCAGCAUGUUAAGCCAACAACUGUAAGAGUUUAAUAUACCAUUCUACAGCUCUGAAAAGAGACGCCUAUCAAAAUUUAGCACAAGUUUCAAGACCUUUGCGAGACCCAUGAUCUUCUGAGAUGCCAAUCCAAUUGUACACGUACAUGUAAAAGAAAUCCUGACAGGAAAAUAGGGGGCAGGAUGCAAAGAGCAGGUCGACAAAUAAAAUUCCACGUCCAUAUUACACGGCGGCUGAUUGGCAAAUGACUGGACGCUUAGCUGCCGCCAGAGUAAAUUCCGCAAAAUUAUGAUGAGAAUAAAACUCAGAAAUAUUCAACCGAAAUUGAAAUAGACAAGAAAUAUAACAAUAAAUAAUCACUAAUAACUAUGUAGCCUAGCGUCAUAAUUCUCAGUUGAAACAAAAAUAUACUGUACAUCAUAUCCCGCAGCAUAAGAAACCAACCCCAAUCUAGGUAUGGGAUCCCCAACCCCAACCAUCAGCUCUCAGAUUCAAACUUUCCACACAAAGAGAUCACGCCAGAGUUACUCCAACACUGCAACCUCUUGAUCAACUCUCCAGUAGUUUGCAUCGUUAUAUUCCUUUACACCAACUCCAUCAUCAUCUGGAUUCUCCUUUUCUGGCACUUUGGGAGCUAUGGUCCUCUUCAAUGGACCUGCUCCCCCAACAAUCCCCUCCUUGAGAGCCUGCUCCAUUGCCUUCUCUGUCCCUUCUAACUCUACACCUACAAAUUCAACAUCCUCUUCAAACAAAGAGGGUACUGACACGGCCUUUUGACUUGAAUCAGAUCCAGAUGAACUGCCGCUAGAAUCUGCAGAAGGGGAGGUAGUACCGUUGGAUACACAGUCUCCACUUGAAGAUGAACUAACGGGGGUCACCACUGGCUCCACUGUUUUAGGGACAAUGUCAGAGUUGCUCUGAUCAUCAAAAGGGUUUACACUUGAUCCACUAACUUGGAAAUCUGAUGCCUCACCCCAUGCCACCCAGUCAGGUAUUGGCCUGUCACCAAAGAGAUCGUCAUUGUCUGGUGACUCAAAUCGGAAGAAACCCAUGUCACCAGAAGCACCUGUCUUCUCCUUCUCAUCCCCCUCAUUUACCGAAUUUUCUCCACUAAACCCAUUGAGGAUACCAUUACUAGAACUGGAUGUACCACUUGCAGAAUUUUUACCAUCAGCCAAUUCAUCGUCCUCUCCAACCACCACUUCAUCAUCACUACUGCUGUUACCACAAUUGGAUGUUCCAUUCAAGUUAAUCUCAUCCAUCAUCUCAGUUGCUGAGGUGCUCAUAGGUGCAUCACCAGCUCUAUCAUCUUGGAAAGCAAACCAGUUGGAAUUUGUGAACAGACUGCAGCAAGAAAACAUAGAAUGUCUACAUUAGACGCUAAUAGAUAAAAACUGACAGCCUCGACUGGAGAGCCAACAACACAACAUUAGCCAUUCUUAAAAGCAUUGAAGAUUAAAUAUCACAUAAGCUGCCUUCAUUGACAGCAGCUGGGGAGUACAUUUCCUCCAACACAUUUCUCAUUACUAGGUCACAGUGGAAAAGCUAACUGGUUGGAGAAGAUAAAAUAAACAGGAUGCAAAUAAGUUGACAUUGAUGAUGUCUACAUUGUAUGUUACAAGACUCGCUUGAACAAGCACCUUAAUUACCAAAAGAACAGCAAGCAAACUAACCUUCCCUGGUCAUCGCCCAGUCUCAGGGACGAUAUCACAACUUCAGCAGAUUCAUCAUCAAAGUAGACAUCCUGCAAUAGGAUCAAUAUUGUACCAGAUCUCAAACAGCAAAGUCAGGACUAUAAAAAGAAUUCCUGAAAGUAUUUUAGGCAUUGACCCUAUAUAUGAGAUGUUCCUGUAAGUAUCUCAGGCAUCAUCGAGAUACAAGACAUCAACUUGAAUUUUCAAAAAUAAUUCCUGACUCAUCCAAUCAGAGAAGAUAGACUGUACAUGUUACCUCGUCAUCUCGAUCAAGAGCUCCAUGGCCCUGCACCAAGCAAUAAAUUCUUUAGGUAAUUCAAACAAAAGUUUGUGUUUUCCAGUGGCAACAAAAAAUCAUUUGUUUCAGUAUAUUUACAUAUCCUUAAAAAGUAACUAUAUAUCCUUAAAAGUAACUACCUCUUCAGCAUCAUCAUUAUCAUAUAUGGUAUAUCUGAAUGCUUGGCUGAGAUUAUUUGCUAAUGCUGCAACAUCAUAAUCCCUGCCAUGAACAUCUUCCUCAUCACUAUCCCUUGUCCUGUCUUGCAAUGCAGUCGGCCGGCUGCACUUGUUAAAAUGUAGCGUGAACAUAUAAAUAUAUCAGUAAUCUUUCACAUUUUGGAAAGAGAGAGGUUAUUUAGAAACCAGGCUUUUUUGCAGUUUCUUCUUCAGGUCAAUUCAGAAGGGGGGACUAGAAUUACACACACACACACACAUGUAUGUAUGUAUGUAUGUAUUAGGCAUCUGAAGAAGAUACCUAAGUCGAGAAGAAAAUAUGAAGACAGUAAAUUCAAAAAAGAGAUAGAAAAUUACACAUUAAGCAUCCUUAAAUUGUAAUUCCUCUUACUUCGUACCAGAACUAGUUCCCCUAUCACUCUUUUAUCUUCUUAAAAUUUCUUGUUCUCCGCCCAAGUUGUUGUCAAGACCUAUUUUGUAAUGUUGACAAUCCUUAUUGCUGCCGUUAAAUCUCCCUUAUCUAAUUAGGCCCCAACUGUAGAUUAAUAAAUUUCAAUUUGUUGAAACACCAAAGGUAUGCAUGUCACAAUCUUCAUCGAAAUCUUGCAGACCAGAAAGGGCCAUCAGGAUGAACAGUUGUUCUUUAUUCACUCCAAUAACGAGGAACUUUUCUUAACAUAAGCAACAAUUCCAUAUUUCACAUAACAAACCCUCUGAACUGGCAUGCAUGGAACCGUGGAAAGCAAAGUGGUCAAGGAAGAGGCAUACCCGCAAGCCCAUCGGUACACAUUUUCAACUAUGUUGCGCUCCUGCAAGACUGAAGACUGCCACUCAUUCCACUCGUUAUUCUCCUAACGCAAACAAAUUAGAAUUAUGUUAGUUGAAGCAAUAGUAAAUUAGGAAAAUAAAACUAAGAUGGAAUUAAGCCAUCCAGUAAACACACAAAUCAACAUUUUCAUAGAUCAACAGUAACAUCAGACACUCAAUAUCCAAGCUACAAGUAUCCAGCAAAAGAAGUCAAUGAUAGAAGCAGUUACUCAAGAGUUAUGAGAUCCAGAUUUAUGUCAGUUGAUAUUGUGACAUACAGAAAUAAAGGGGGCAUUAAGGAAUUCAUUGCAUGCCACCGGAUCCCAACCAAAGGCAAAGUAAACUUGAACUCAGGAACCACAAAACAAGAUAAGAGAUGGCAAUUCAAUACUUCAGCACAAUAAACAGAAAAAGAUAACCAGAAGUCCUUGCUACCCACCAUGACUCCUUGAUUUCCGGAUGGAAAUUGCUUUAAACUCUAAAGAAAGAUGGUUUUUAACUUAAAAACCUCAAUACUUCAUAGAAUAACCACAUCCAUAAAAGAAUUCUACAACAACUGGAACAACAUACAGUACACAAUACUAUAUGAUAGUCAAGUAAGAUAUAUAUAGUAAUUCAUAUACAGAGAACAUAUUAACAACAAAUCUCUAUUUUCUGACACCUGAAGAUGUGUUCCAAUGGAUGACUCGUUGCUUCCCAAUUGUACAAUUUUAUUAGAUAUGCGUGUUAUGUGUCCAAUAAAUCCUGCCCGAGGAGCCUGUCUUCCACCAGCAGGUACACUAGGCUGCAGGAAGAGAUGCAUAAUUAGAUAUGAACUUGAAGAAUUCCUAGUUAAAAACAACAGCAAGAAAGAUUAUUUAAGAAGCAAAACCAACACAAAUGCCCAAUGAUUUCAAAUGGUUACGAGUACUUCACUAGACAAUUACUUGAUACAUGUUACAACUUACCAGACUAAGAUCACCAGUGACAGUAGGAAACUUAUCCGCUUGAAGAAAUCUUCCAAUCAAAUUACAUUCUUGGAAAAGAUGGUCAAUUAUUGCAUUGCUUUUGCUAUCCAGACAUGAAUAAAUUAUACUCUCUGCAUGAUGAUGCAAUGCAUUGUUGAAGGGAUACCUGAAAUAGUUUUUUCAAAUGAAAAAGAUCAAAGCAUUUACCACAGAUCAUUUGAUAAUACGUUACUAAAGCACAAAAUGCACAAUAUUUUUGGGGGGACUUACUCAAAAAAGAGGUCAAGGAUUCUUUUAAUAGUCCCAGAGCUCACCAAUUCCUUCUCUGCAACUUCAUUUCCAGUUUUCAGUAACACAGCAAUGAAUUCUACAAUCUACAAUUUGCAUAACAAUACAAAUUUAGAGUGGAACUGCAAACAGACAACUUAACAAAAAUCAAUUGUUGACACAUUAUGCAACAUGUUCACAAUUGACUCAUUUCUCAAACAAUGCCUUCAGAAAUCAAUUUUCUUCUCUUCCAGGGACAUGGAAUGGGAGGAACUAGCGGAUUUUAGAGAGAGAGAGAGAGAGACUUUCUUUUUUACUCAACACCAAAAGUAUAAAAUCUGGUAUCACUUUAUCGCACAAUUGAAGAGACAAACCUUUAAGCGAUGUUUCCCAAGAGGUGGUCUUAAUUCACCAUAUGUUGUGGGUAAGAUCUUCUCAUCAGACGACACAUUUAACAACAUCAGCAGGUCCACUGCACCACAAGACAAAUUAAAACAACAAAAUAUUACUAAAAGAAGAUGAAGUUUGUUUUAUUUUGACCACAGCCCUGACCCCUCCACCUGCACUCUUGCACUAAUAAGCACAUGUACAAUUAAUCAUUUACUCCCAAAUUGGCACUUUCCAGAUCCCAAAAUGGAUAAGUAACUAAAAUCAGCAUAAUGUUUAGCUUCAAUUACAAGGCAUUAUAAGACAAAGAAUCUUCAAACAACAGAAUCCCCCUCUACCUCUCACAAACAGUAGUUCAGACUUGAGUUCUAUCAUGUAUCUACCACAUAAGAAUGCAUAUGCACAGAACUAAUUUUCAAUAAAACAUUAAGAUACUUUCAGUAGUCAUAGGGUAAAUUUAAGUUUCAGGGAAAAUAAAAAUUUAGAAUUUGGAUUUCAAAAAAGGUGUAAAUUCAGAUAUCAAAAUUUCAUUUGCUUUCACAGGAAAUCGAGGCUGUUAAGAUGAUUUCCAGUCAAUGCAAUAUCAGCAACACUUACCCCUCCUAACUUUCGUAAGAACCUACAUAAUAUCUACAAACAUAAACUGACAAUUUGCCACAGUUUCCACUCGGUGGCAUUCAUCAUCCCAUUAUAUGUCUCUGAAAUGCUACUACCUAAAUCAGAGACAAGACUCGUUAGAUCACAAGGUCCCUUCACAAGCCAAGAAUAGAAUAAUGUUCAAUAAAUCUAUCGUGACAAAGGGACAAAAAAGGUAUGCUUGGCAAACAACGGUUCAAUCAUUGACACAUAAAGAUCUGCCAAAACAACAGAACUACUAAUUUGUCCAUAAGAUCGUUGCUAAUCAGAACAUUAAGCAUGUAAUAAUUAAUCACCAAUGAGCUUGACAUUUCUACAAGGUCACCUAAACCUUUCUAAAUUCCCUCGUGAGAUAGAGAACCUUAUACUACAGAUCAUAGAUUUCAAUGGCACUAGUUACAAAAAUUAUGGAUAAACACUGACAGACUUACCAAGUUUUGGCAGCAUAGCUCCAACUGUAUCAGGAUUUAUGUGUAUAGGUGACUCGAAUACAUGCUGACUUCGAAUUAAGUACGUCAAAGGAGACGGAAUUGAUCUUUUUGGGUCCAGUAAAGAUAUACAGACGGACAGUGAGUGAACAAGAGCUGAUUUUGAAUGCGAGUCUUCAAGUGCAUGACUAAAAAUCCUUGCAACAUAACUGCAUGACAAGAUAAGUACAAUAUUCAUAUUCACAAAGAUAGAAGAAAUGUUGAAUCAGCUCAUAUUUUCACAAACCUUGGGCUACAUAAUUUUGUGGCCAAAGGUGACGGUGCAUUUCUGGUUAUAGCACAAAGGGUUUCAGCUGCAUUUGCGUGUACCUCAGGAGGACUCUGGACAGAAUCAAGAACACACCAGAUAAAUUUCUAUGUGCUACUAUAGCAACAUAGAAUACUCGACUAUAUAAACUCAAAAACCUGAUGAAAUGUACACAUGAAAGACAAUCAAGUAUCCAUCAUGACAAUAAUGGGACCUAACCAUGGGAUAGUUUCUAAGAAAAGCUAAUUCCAACACUUAAAUGGAGCCAAAAUGUAUUAAUUGACCAAUACAAGGUGAAAAGAACUUUUUAACUUCAACAUUUUUAGGUUUGCUUUCUGCUAUAAGAGAAAUUUCCUGCUCAUGGGAAAUCCGCAUGAUGCAUAUUGCAACAUGAUCAACUAUAGAUGCAGGAAAACAUCCUUGAAAAAUUAUUAAACAAAGUGAUACAUGCCUCAUUGUAUCACUGGAUGCUCAAAGUGUCAUGCAUCAUGCAUCCACUCCGAAAGCAAGUUAACAUAAGACUAAAAGUUCUCUUAGCUUACAGAGGGACUCAAUUUAUCGACAAUCAUUUCCAAUAAAUUGCUGUCUGCCAGCCAUUGCAUCACAUCCAUGGAGUUAGGGUAGAUGUGAUCAUCAGCGCCAACAAGUCGUACCAAAACCUGUAUGCAAAGCUGAUCAGUAAAAGGGUUGUGAUAAAAGAACCUUAAAUUAAGCUUACAAACUAUAUGGAAGGUCAUGUAACAGGAUGUAACACUUCGAAUGAUGCAACUAACCUCCAUUAUGGAUGUUAUGCCAAUCAAAUCAACCAGCUGGCGGAAGACAUCCUGAUGAGCCUGCCAAAAAGGGGCAUUCAAACAACAGACGAGAUAUAUCACAAAGAUAUAAGAUAAACUCAGUUUCAACUUUCAUCAGUAAAGCAUAUUGCAAUUCCUGUAUCUAUUUUGACAAACUAUUUGCUUCUCACCAAAUUGGCCAAUCCCAUUAAUCUUGAAUAGAAUAUGCACAAAGCCCAGACACAAUGACAAAAUAACAUGAAUUUUAAGUCAUUUAGAUUCUUAACAGGAAAAUCAAUGCAAGAUUUUUCUUAAUGAAAAGAAAGCUGAGCAUAAAUACUAUUAUUAGUCUGUAAUCAGCAUAAACCAAGCUAACUACCUUCUUCUGGGCAACAGAACUAGAGUGUUCAGUUUUGCAACUGCAGUUAUGCACUUCAAUCUUAAAAUGCUAAUGUAUGAAAAUGCUGAUUAACUCCCCUGCAUAGCCUUUGUGUGUAGUGAGAACUCAUAUUCUCAAAUUAAAUUCAUUAUUGAAGAAAACACAAAAUAAGUCCUAUGUAAAGCAACAUAAUACAAACCCCACUCAUUGACAUAGGAUGCCUAUCUAAAGCAGCCUUAAAUAUUUAGUUCAAGGAAAUUUCCAUUAAAAAGCGAUAACAUAUCCAACUUAAGCAAUUAAAGCCAAACAACAACUAUCAACCCAAAAAUAGAAGAUGUUACUUUUCAAUCACCUGAACAUAAUUCAUAAGUGGUACAGUCUUGCGCAACAUGAGGCAAAUUACAACCUGCAAUACAGCAAAAGCUACAUGAAACAGUUUACUUUAGCUGAAACACCAGUAAACAAAAACACAAUGAACAUCACAUACACAGCUCCUUGUACAAGAACAAAAUACCUUGCUAAAAUACCCAGCAAGCAAAGCACUAUGAGGACGAUUUGGUUCCAGGAACGAGAAGAGCAAAUCCAUCAACUGUAUCAAACAACCCAAAUGGAAACAUCAGGCCUCUCAAUUGUUCAUAGUGUGUGCCUAUAAGUAACAACAACCAUACCUCUUCUUCCUCCACCAGAGUCUUUAAAAUAACGUCAAUUUCGCAUGUAAAAAUCUCACAAGCAAUGAAUGGGAACCUAAAUUAACAUAACCAAGAUGUGUUAUUAAAAGUAAAAGUUGUGAUUUCUUUGGGAAAAAAAAAUUCAAGCGCGACAUUUUCGCAUAACUAUAAUAGUGAUACUUAAAAUGCUUAUCCAUUUUUCCCCCAACUGAAUCACAAUGACCUACUUGAAUGUUCGCUUACUGUCAGCAUCUUCCGGAGGCUCUUCAAUAACAUACCGCAGCAACUGCUCAACCUGGGCUCUAUCUCUCAAACUGUAAACAGAAGUGAUUUACAAUUACCUUUAAUAUAUUAAAGGUGCUACAAACAUUUUAUAGAUGCUGAAUCUACUUGUUUCCACUUUGUUUUUUCUCCCAUUCUUCUGUGGAUUUUUAUUCUUUUUUUUUUUUCCUUUCUUUUGGAAGGGGAGUAGAGCUUAAGAAAGAUUGUCUAUUACAAAUUUAUAAGCCGACUGUUUAGCGCUUUGCAUUCUUGGAUUAUCUCUUCUUCGUCCAAAAGCUCUUCCAACGUGAAGUUUUCCUUGUCUAACACUGAUUCAACCUAGAAACAUAUAAAAAAAAUACAAAGAAAAUCAUAACACAUUAGAAUGUUACUCUAAACAAACAAAAACUGAAUUCAUAAGCAGUAAACCUGGCUCAGAGAAUCAUACAUGUGACCCCUACACAGUCCAUGGCAAAUCAGAACUAAUUAGUAUCACUGGCUAAUCACCAGCAUUCAAAAUCCUUAAGGAACAACAAAAAAGAAAGACUUGUGAGGAAAUGACAGAUACAGAGUCCAACAGACAAGAUUUAUAAUAUGGUAAAGCUUUGGUCAGCAACACUUUCCAUAAGUUCAAAGUGUACAAUUCAUCAAGCUGUUACUUGUACCGGAUCACCCCCUAACUAAGUACAUCUCAGAAAAGCACAUUACUUCAAUAAUCAAAAGUUCAUUCCAUGAAGCGAGAGCAACAAGGGCAGCAAUAAGCUAUAUAUACUUAUUUUAAGGAGACAAGUAAAGCUUGUAGUCAGCUAAACCUCUCUAUGGGGACAAAAGUAGCAUUCGUAGAUCAUCCAGCAAAGGAAAAACACCAUAUCUUAAGACUUAUGAGAGGCACCACAUGCAGAGGAAAUGUGGCGCUAGUAGUGAUACUACUCGAGAUUUCACAUCAAGGAAAGCAACCCCAGUGACAUUUCACUAAGUAAAUACUCCGCCUAAUUUAUUAAAGAGAAAUUAAAUUCAGGUGCUUAAAUAAACUAAAACAAACAUUUCAUUCAUGAAAUUGCAAGAAUGUGCUAAUCCAGAACCUGCUGAAUUAAACAUUUCAUAUAAAAGCAACAUAUCAAAUUGUGUAUAGACUGACAAAGCUCAAUAUUUCCAAUGCUUCAUCUGAAACAGCAAUAAUUAGCGAAAAUGCACUUGUGCAGCAAAAAUUAGUUACAAACAGCUAGCAAAUUUUCAAUAUACAGCUGCAACGUGCAUGAAUUUUCAACUCAACGAAUUAAAUUCGCAGAGCCUACUUACCAAAGUCUAAAAUUAAAUUAAGAAAAUGAAUAAAAGCGCAAAUAAAUGGAUCGAGUUGAACUCACAGGAGAAGAAGCAGAAAGAGCCGUAAGCUUCCAAAACAUAUUCAAAUCCGUGGGCGCCGGUGGCGUACAGAACAAGUAGGUGUAAAUAUACUUGUAUUUGUCAGUAUAGGUAGAGGGAGAAAGAGAAAUAUACAGAUGGAUGUAGAAGAAGCUCUGAGCUAAAAAGGAAGAGCUGAAGAACGAAUACUAGAUCUGUAAAAACCCUAGACAGAGAGACAGGAGAGAAGCAGAGCUCAAGAUUCGAGAUAAAAAGAAAGGGCGGUAAUUAUAAAACCCUAAUUUGUAGUAAAGAAUAAAAAUUUUGAAGACGGAUCAAAAAUGGAAAGCGCAGCCGUAAAGAUCCAAGGAGGAGAGAGAAGGAGAUAGAAAAGGCGGAGGCAGGGGACGAUUUUUUGGUACAAAAGUCGGAGAGUAGAAACGAUGUGAAGGCUAUGAUAGGCUGGACCGCUCGGUGGUGUUUUUUGCGGGGCGUUGUUUGCAGAUGGCACCCCCAAAAAAAUGAAAAAUAAAAAUAAUUUAAAUAAAAAGGCGGAAAAGUACAACAUCAGGCGCGGAAUUUACAAGCCAAUCCCCAAGAACUAAGAAGAAACCCUUUAAAUGAGUUUUUUUGAUCUAUCACCUGAUAAUCGCAUCUGCUUAUUUGCUUCUAUUUGGGUGGUCAAGAGUUUUUUUCAGAAUUAUAUUUUAAAAUAAUUGUUACAUCAUAAACACAUUUUUAAUAAAUUUUUAAUUUUUUACCUCUCUUCUAAUUUUAUGCAAUCACACAGUACAUCAAAUUACAAAAAAUGCUGCAGUAUUGCCUUAAAAAUUUUUUCAAUAGUCUUCUAUCAAAAUGCACUCUAAUAGUAAUUUUUUUUCCUACAAAAUGUUCGUAUGAAAUUAAAAAGAAAAGGUAGACAGAGGACUUGUUAAAAAUUAUUUUUUGAAAAUUUCACCAACCAAAUUUAAUGAUAAACAUCAAUCAAUAUUGUCUGCACCUUAAAUCUUGAACAUUUAUCGUGGGGGUGCUCAUGAGACCUUAAAUUAGUAUUACUAUUCCAUAUAGCAUUUCAUUAUGUUGUACCCUUAAAGCCGGCACUCGAGAGAGAGCCCAAAAAAAAAAAAAGGAUGGGGUUAGUGGCCUGUAAAUGAGUCAGGAACGUAUGAGGGGGUGCAUGGAGAAUGAUACCGUAUGACGAUCAAGAGAAGAGACCAUGAAAGGAGGACGUGACUGGGGGGGGGGGGGGGGUUGAUGGUGAUGAGAUGUGGCAGUCGUAAAGAUUGCUUUUCCAAUUUUUUUGGCGGGUGGUGGAGGGGUAUGGCAUUUUUACUUUUUAGUUGAACUUUGAAAUGCGAAUUUGUCAUCUAAAUUUGGCAUUUCCUUUUCUUUUCUUUUCUUUUUUUUAAGCAUUUGCUUAUUGGCACGUAAAUAUGCAUCUCUCUCGGACUUAGUCGCUAAAUUUUGGCCAUUAGUUACAUGUCGGAUUUAGGACAUUCAUUUUACCAAACAACUAGUGUCUAGAUCUUGUGUUUGGAUUGACAUGAUUUGAAAUAAAAUAAUUUGCUUCACAAAUUUCAAUCACCUUUUUAUUUUACAUGUAUCAUAUCAUAAAAAGUAUUACAGUAAUUAUCUCAAAUAAAUCAUCCAAAUAAUCUUAUAUUCAAAUAGCCAAAAAUGUUACAUGAAAAAACAGGGUCAUAGGUACAACUAUAUUCCAGCAUACUUGUGUAUAUUUAUAAUAAUCCGACAAACAAGCUAAAUUGGGAUUCUUAUUUUUAGAAUUUUUUGUAGAAAAUAUAUUAUAACUAUUUAAAAUAUAUGGAGUAAAAAAGUAAUUAAAAAAUGCGUUUACUGACUGUACUCAAAAUUUUUUAUGAAAAAAAUGCAAUUCGAACAAGACCUCAGCUUAAUUUGUUUUAAUCAAAUGUACAAGUAAAUUAACAGUUAUAUGGACAAAAUAGCAAGUUUGGUUCAGGCUUUUCAAUUCUAUGCCAUAUGGGAAGUAGAAACUAUCCAAGUUCAAGAUUGUGAGUUUAGGAAAUACUACUACUAGUUUUUAGAUCCCAAAGUCAGAUGUUAAAACUAGAUUCUAUCGUUCAAAUUCAAAAAAAUUAGAACUCUUUACGCCUGAGAAAUCUUAACACUAAUUGACAACCUAAACUUUAGAUUCUAUCAUUGAAGUAGCAGUACCAGUCAGGACGCAACAUUAAAUUGGAUUUUUAAGGCCGAAAGGAUGUCAUAAUCAUUUGGAGCAAAAAAAUUUGUCCAAUUGUUUGAAAUCUCAGCGUGAUAAUGAUGGUCAAUGUUGCAAAUUGUGAUGUGAUGAGGGUGCCCCGUCUUAUCCGGGACAUGACCAUUAUUUUGCGCUAAUAACCAUUCAAAUAAAUUCACUUGCUAAUUCUACGACUACAAGUUGUUGCAUAAUCUAAAAGGAAUCAACCAUCAUCACAAUAUAAUGUAGUAACGAGAAAAGCAUUAAUUAUAUAUGUUUCUACAACUUGUGUAAAAGUCGGGGAAUCUCUUGCUAAUUAACAUAUAUAGUAAAUGUGUGAAUGUCAUUCCCUCAAAUUGAACCCAAUUGCUGACGUGGCGCUCUCCCAUUGGUCAAUUGGUGGUAGUCCUCCAAUUGAUUCCAAUUUGAUGAGUUGUCGUCCUCUGAUUCGUCGAUUGGUGGUAGUCCUUCCAUUGCACAUGAAAAUGGUGAUGUGGCGAGUUUUGAUUGGAUGGGAGGUGGUAGUUUUCUAAUUGCAUGCAGGAUUGUGCUAAAAUUUAGCCUUUUUUUCCCUUUCCCAACAAUAAAUUGUGUUAACAAAAAAUUGGUAUCCCAAUUAUUCACAAUUAUCAACGUUUUUUUUUGGUUGCCAAAUAAAUCAUAAUUAUUAUUUUUUAUUUUUUAUUUAUUGUAAUAAUUGCUUAUGUUAUGCUCUAAUUGUAUUAAUUAUUAUUAUGUUAUCUUUUUUGUAAUUGCUUUUGUUAUGCUCCAAUCGUGAAAAAUGUACUCUUUAUUUGAUUUUUUUCCAACGACAACCUAGCUAAUCUCAUUGAAAAAAAUUGGUGCUCUUUAUUUUUGUUUUUUUGGAAUGAGAGGGGAAGACAUUCAAAUAUUAUUAUCAAAUUUCCACGAUAAUCUUUAUUUAGUAUUAAUUCUAUGUAAACAAUCAACAAUGUGGUGCCCUUCCAUUAGUGUCAUUUAUUAUUUGGUCACGCCACACACCAUGUUUAAUUAUAGAUUCCCCACUAUUAUUUGUUAUAAUUAUUUAUUUAUUUACUUUUUAUUUGGGUUCCAUUUUUCGGUUACCCAAUAAAUCACAUUUAAUUACCAAAAUUUUACAAUUCAUUGUUAAUAACUAAUUAAUAGUGUUAUUUUUUUACCUAACAAAUCACAUUUAAUUAAUAACUUUUUUGCAAUUAUUAACAAAAAUUUUGGCUUCUUUUUUGUGUUUGCCCCAAAAAACACAUUUAAUUACAAUUUUUUUUUCAAAUUUUAUAAAAAAUGUCCUCUUUUAUUUUGGGUUGCCCAACAAAUCAAGUUUAAUUAUCCAUUUUUUGAAAUUAAUUUUUAAUUAAUUAAGUAAUAAUUUCACAAUUUUAUUGCCUGACAAAUCACAUUUAAUUAUCAGCCUUUUAUAAUUAUUAAUAUUGUUUUGGUUACCCAACAAAUCGCAUUUAAUUAUCAAUUAUGUGUAGUUAUUAGCCAAAAUUUCACCUCUUUUUUUUGGUUGCCAAUCAAAUCACAUUUGGUUGUCCUUUUUAACAAUUAAUUGAUAAUUAAUUAAUUAAUAUUGUUACUUUUUUUUUUGCCUAACAAAUCACAAUUAAUUACCAAUUUGUUGCAAUUAGUUGUUAGUUAAUUAAUCUACCUUGCUCCACCUAACGCUUCCCUUUAGUCUCAUUGUCCCAUUUUCACUUUUCUGAAUAAACAUGUGGUGGGUAGACUUCCUCUCUCUGUAACAGCUUUUUCUGGUGGAAUUUGACAGGGGGUUAGGCUCGAUGCAUCAAAAGUCUCAUCUUUCCCACUUUGUUCAUCAACCGUCACUCUCUAAACCUCUUAGAACAACUCUCUCUCUUCUUCUUCAUCUUCCAGCCUCUCUCUGAGAACAACAACGAGCAAGAUGGUUUUCUUCAUCUUCCAGCCUCUCUCAUCUUUUUAGAGAGGCUCACUGUUUUAAAGUUCUUCCCUCCCUGCCAAAACUUAUUCAGCUCUUUAUUUUUUAAAAUUUUUUUAUUUGUCUAAUAUACAUAAAUUUCUGAUCUUGCAGGUGAAAUAUUACAAAUUUCCUCCAACACUUUUAUCAGAUUUUGUAAGUUUUUGUUGAUCCCUUAUUAAAAACAGGUUCUAUAUGGUUAAAUGUGCUUUGCUGCAUCCUUCCUUUUCUAUUACUGACUUAUUCUUGUUUUUCUUGCCAUAUGCAUAUCUCGAUUUUUCCCAUGGCUAUGAAGCAUCAAAACACAUGUAAGAAAUUUGAGAAAUUUUUUCCCUAAUGCCUUCUGAUGUUAUGGGUCGAAAUAAUAGAAAUAUGUCUGCAGUUUGUCUUGCCUAUGCCUUAUUCACAUAUCUUGCUCCAAGAAGAUUGUCGACCUGCUUCAUUGCUAUUCUAUAAAUGGUUAUAUGUAGGUAAAUCGCUACUCUAUUUAAGAUUUUUGGAGAGGUCUUCUAUUUAAAAUUUUUUCCCAUGAGUGCGAAUGUGUAAUCUUUGUCAUGGUGCAGGGUUUUUACCCAUAAUAUUUUGAUUGGUUUAUUUGUUUAGACAAAAGAAAAAGUGUGAGGUUGAAUAUUAUAUAGGUGCAGUCCUCUAAUGAGUUUUUCCCUUCAACCUUCUGUUUUAUCAAAAUACCAGAUUUUGAACAAAUGUCAUGAAUCAGAAAUGUCUAUGCUCAAUUAUAGACUGAUAUGUGAAAGUCGGCUCUAAUAAUUUGAAAUUCACUCCUUUAAUUCAUUAGUGAACAGUUUGAUAAUAGUAGCCUUCCUACCUUUUAUCAUGCAACUUAUUUUAGACGGGUUUUCCUUCUGGAUUUAUAUUGUGUAUGGCAUUUUUAGCAAUUAAAGGAUUAUUAUAUGACUAAUUAAUAUGUUAAUAGGUUAGACAAAAUAAGUUAGAGCGAGACUAAUUGGCAGUGGAGUGAGAGGAGUCUUAACAUGGGAAAGAACAAGUAUAGAAGACAUGUUAAAGAUUUGUCAAUUGACAGAGCAACUCUGUAUGAACUUCAACUAGAUGCUGCCUAAGGUAUAUAUAAUUUGGUGAUAAAACACUGCAUUCUGCUGAAUUAUUUUGGUGGUUCUUGAUUCUCAUUUUGCAGAAUUUAACUAGUGAACUCUACCACAAAUCCUUGGAAGAUGCUGCUAAGGUAUAAUUGCUCAUUAUCUUUCAUUUGCUAAUCACCGGAUAACAUUUUGUUCCAUGUGUCUUUCUUGUAUUAGGAACAAAAAGAGGUUUACUUGAAAUAUCACACCUAGAUAAUCAGUUAUUACAAAAAUGCUUGGUCUGUGUGUCUAUCUGUUUUUUGCAUAUGAUGUUUUGACUUGGACAAAAGAUUGAAAUGUUUAGUCCAGAUUAUUAUAGAACAAUGGUGAAGUAUGUGUAUGUGUGUGUAUAAAAGACUAUUACAUGUGGUGAGUUUAUUCCUAGCAUGUAUUUAGAGACCAUUAACAGGUAUAAGAUUAGGAAAUUAUGGCUGCAUAUUUGCUCAAUCCAGCAGUUUUGCUAGAGAAGUUUUGCUCAGUCAUACUUGGCUUAGUGUCUUUAGAUCUCGACAUAUUACUGUUGCUUGGGAAAAUAUUUUUGCUUUAGGAAUCAGGGUUUUUUUUAUUGCCUUGAAAACUGCAGGGUGUAAAAAACAUUUACUCAUGUUGAUAUAUUCACCAAGAUUUAUUAUGGCUAUAGCACAACGUAUGGUAGCACAGGCGUGAUGUGGACAUGAUUUGCUUCAAACAAGCAAAUUUUGUUUGGGAAAAAAUCAUAUGAUUUGCUUUAGUAUUUGUAUUUAACAUGUAUUUGCAUUAUAUAUGUUGACUUUUUUUUUGAGAUUUUAAUAUUUUAGGUUCCAAUCUUGGUCCUUUAUGUUUUGCAUUGCUGGUUAAGCAGAACCACCCAAAAGAAAGAAGAGGUUUAGCUGGUUGAAAUUCAUCAUAUGUGGAAUUUGAUAGUUUUCUUUGAUGAAAAAAUCUGGAUAUGUUUUUUCUUUACCUUUUUCCGGUUUUUUUAGUUGGCUUUUUCUUUAAUUUUGGUUUCUUAAUCAAUUUGGAUGUGAAACUUUGGAAAUGCAUUCAGAUGUUUAGUGCUUAAUGCCUAUUUAUGGUUUGGCAAACACAAGUUCUUUGCUUCCUGCUAAUCCUCAGGCUUUGUUGCUAUUGUUUUGUUUCGUAUUGUAGUUUCACACACCCUAUGCUAGAUUUGGUGGUCUAACAUAUUAAUUAGAAUUAUCUUUUAUGCUCUAAUAUGUUCCAAAUGUUUAUUACAAGAUAUUAAGAUAUGCAACAAAGGAUUGGAGAAAUUCUUUUCUCAAAGUACACAUUAUUUAGACUCUCUGUUUUUUCCCCUGGAAAAAAAUUAAUCUAAUUUGAUUUUGUCUUUUCUUUUUCCUAAUUAAUUUGAUUUUUUCUGCAUUUGUUUGUUCUAUAUUAUUUCUAGAUAAAGGAACAAGGAAAAAGGAGGCUACUUUUCUCCAUUCAACCAUGAAGGUGUGUUUUAAUGUUUUUGUGUUCUCUUCAUUCCCCCCUCUUCCUCCUUAGUAGUUUAUUGUAAUUUUUUUCUCGCUUUGCCCUAUUUAUUGGUCUUGAAAAAAAGUUGAGGAUGAUUGUUUGGGAAGGUUAUCCUAUUUCCUCUAGAUUUAAAGUUAGUAGAUUACCUAUUUCAUUUUUAUUUUUUAUGUUUUUCUCUCUCUCGUAUUUUUUGCAUCAUAUUGAAGCAUUCCUUGAAACUGCAAAAUGGAUUGUAGGAAUUAAAAGAUUAACCUCCAAGUGAAACUUCAUACAUAGGGGAAUAUCUGACUUUUUUGCUAGCAAUACAAAAUAAAAAAUAAUUGGUUGCGACCAGAUUAUCUUUGCAUUUUAUCCCUUGGUGAGUGUUUAGUUGUAAAACAAGACAUAUUGUACUGAUGUUGGAAUCUUAUUGAUUUUAUCAUGGGACAUCCUUUUUGGUUUUAACCCUUUUGAUCAUUUUUUCCUCAUGGUAGAUGGCUACCAAAGCACAUAGAAAUAAGGUAAUUUCUUCCUGACAAAGAAGAAAAUAGUUAUGACUUAAGAUAUGCAUGUUAAUAAUUGUACUUCUUGCUACAAUUUAAUUUGUUUUAUUGAAGCGUAUAUAAGGUUCCUAAGCAAGACACAGAGAGCAUCAUCCAUAAAGCUAAUUCUUUUGACUUUUGAAUCUUUGAAUACCUGUGCAUCGUGGCUAUGGUAAAAACUUGGUUCUAAAUUUCUUUUUUGCUUUUCAAAAUAGAAGUAAGAAAAUUGUGCCCAAGAUAAAAGUGCAACGGUUUAUGUAUACGCGGUCUACUAUGAGAGAUAGGUAGCCAGCUAUUUCACACUUUUGGAUAGCAUUUUAUAACUCAAGUAAGUGAAAUUAAAUUCUUGGCUUCUUGUUUUCUUAGUUUUGUAUCAAUAAGUUUGAUUAUGCCCACAAUGUGCUGCUUGCUUUAGUAAGAUGUUUGGUGUGCUAUGUAAAUAAGUUUCUUAAUCAUUGACUUUAAAAAUUUGGCUACUAAGAUAAGCACAAAAAUUAGGACGAGAAAAUUCCUAUGGUAGAUUUAAUAUAAAUUGGGAACUUAAGUGGCGUGCCACUUUUGCUGUUUCAUUGGAGCACAAGGACUUGACAAUUUAGGAAGUUGUUUAACUAAUUAAUUGGCUGAAAUGGUUUAAAAAAUGUCUUUUUCAAAAAAGUGAAACAUAUUUAAAUUGUAGCACUAAAGAAGUUGUCAUUUUCUUUUUAUUGAUUUUUUUAUACAGUAUGUAUUAUACAAAUUUUUUUUUUGUCUUUCUUCUUUUCUCAAAUUCGAUUAAAAACUUACAGAUAACUCAUAAGUAAUGACAAAAAGAUGCAGAAUAUUGGCCGACUAAUAUCUUGUCCUUUUUUGAGGGCACAAGUGGGAAUGCAAUAUUUGGUUUAAAUCCAUUUGACAAGUGUGCAGUUUCAAACCUUUAAACAUGAGAUACACAUUUUAUAUACUUAGUCUAACUCAGCCAAAUAAAUAGUUGUGUAUUUGCUUGGUGACUUUUAAGUGUAGAGAUGUUUUAUUACAUUUGAUGAAACAAGAGUAUGAAGCCUCCUUGGUGAGUUCUUACUUUAUAUUAUUUAAAUAGUCAAAAUUAGUUCAAAAAAUAAUAUUGCAAGUCUUCUAUUCUACAAGUUCCUAUAUUCUUUUCUUUAUGUCUCUACGUUUUAUGAAUUCCAAAGAAAUUGAACUUCUUUCGUCUUUUGGUGAUUUUAAUUCCAAGAUUCAAAAAAAGUUUUGAAUAAGUUUCAACUGUUGUAGGAAAACAAGAUUAAAGUGAUAAAAUUUGUUGGGUCGGUGGAUGAAUAUUUUGGCCUCAAAUGCCAUUUUGAAAGGUAUUAAUACCUUUCUUUGCUGUUAUCAUGCGCCCAAUAUUAAUACCUUUCAUUUGCUUUAUCAUAUCUCAUUUGCUAUGUCAAUAAGGUUCUAAACUUGAGAUAAUGACUUGUUUAUCUUAUCACAGACUGGAAGCAUAUGCAGCUCUCCACUCUCAAUUGUGUUUGGGUCUUGUAUCUCUUACUAUUUACAUUAAAAAAAGGAGUCUUCAUGGGUGUUAGUAGUUGAGAGAAAAAGGGCAUUUCAUAGUUUUUUUGUAUUUUUAUAAUUUAUACCUUUUGGAACAUUAAGAAUAUUGUACUGAUACUGCUUUCUAAUGGGAAAAUCUGAUGGAGAAAGAAAUCCAACAGGUCCUAUAACUUACAAUUAUACUAUUCGUUUUCUUUCUAGAUGAGAGUCCAUUUUCUUAGUCUGCUAACAUGGAUGCACUUCACGGUUACAGUAUCAUCGGAAAUCACUUUUGCUAAUUGCUUUAGAAACUUUUGAAAGGAUAAAUACGAUACAGCUUUAUCUAAUUUUGAAUGGAUGAAUACAAUAUUUAUGAUUUAGCUUAAUAUAAUUUGCAACCAUUAUGUACUUUGUAUAACUGGAAAAACCUAAAUAAUUGGGCAAACUUGAAAUUUAAUUAUGUAUGAUGCAUAACUGGGCAAACAUGAAAAUUUUCACCGCGCAUCGCGCGGUGUUCUCCUCCUAGUUCCACGACUAUAAGUCGUUGCAUGAUUCAGAAGGAAUCAACCAUCACCACAAUCUCGUACUAGUAUGUAACUAGAGAAAAGCGUGCAUGCUAACAUUUUCCUACAAAUUGUGUACAAAUCAGGGAAUCUCGAGUCAACAUACACGUGUAACUUCUUGUAGCAUCUUAGGUUUGUAAAAUAUUUAGAUAGAUCUAGAUUUUUUUUCUUUAAAAGGAACAAAUAUUUGGGUGACUUCGACUCCGAUCACCGCUACUGUACGAGCAUACUUUCAGAAUUAUAGAUAGAUUUCAAGAGUUUUUACCGAUGGUCCACCAACACAGUUCUCAUAUUGGUAAUGGGAUUCGAGUACACGAUUUUUUAAAAGCAUCUAGUCACCAAGUGAAUUAUGUGCUUUAAAUAUCGUACAAUUAAUCAUAUAUUUCAAAAAUAUCUAAAUAUUAUUAUAAUAUAUUGGUCUGCAAGAUCAAAUUUUUCUUAGUAUUUGCCAUAGGUUAAUUAACUAAUUAUUUGGAGAUUAACAUUCAUCCACCAUAUCGGUAUAGUUGAUUUGUCUAUGGUAAACUAGCUAGCAUGUACUUGAAGCUUUUUGGUAUUCUGUAAAAUUAUUCCUUUAUUACUGACUGAAUCGAUAUGAUCACAAAGAGGAUUUGUUUGGCAGAUAACUUGAAACUUUCCAACAAAUUGUUAUUUUUUCGGAGCUGUAGGCACCAUCUGGCAUUACAGGAGAGUAAGGAAGGAAUAUGACUUGAAAAUUGAAUCCAGUUUGGAUUGCUAUUUUUAGUAAUUUUUUUAGAAAAUAUACUGUAUUGAUUUGACGUACGUGAAGUAAAAAAGUAUUUAAGAAAUAUGUUCAUAAAAAAUAUAAAAGAAUUUCUGUGAAAAAUCACAAUCCAAACAAAAUAUUUACACUUCAUGCUACCUAUUUACCAUCUCAACGAAUUGUUUCAAGUUGAACUUGGAGUAUAUAAACUAUAGCAUUCGAGCAAUGGGGCUUUAAAUGGACUCAAAUUACACAACUAUUUGGGUUGUUUGAGCAUAUUUCAGCUUAAUUUAUUAUACUGGCCACAAUUUUAAUCACACCUCUUAAUAUUGCUUCUUGCUUAAUUGAUUUGCACUUUUCAACCCUACACCUAAAUCCUAAUCUAUCUUUGGAAAAUACUAGAGGUUAGCUCCUAUCUUAUUGACGAACUACGUGGCCUCGAGUGCUUUUUCUCUUUUGAAAUGGCUCUUCCUGGUUCCUCCUUUAGACAAAAUAUUGAGUAGCGACUUUUCAGUUGUGUUUCUUUCUUUUAGACGAAAUGGACUUUGCAAUUAUGCUUGGACCAGCACUAAAUGACGCCAAAGUGCAAAAAAAGUUGGAGGCUUGGAUGGAAACGACAAGAUUAACUUUGGUGGGUCGAAUUAAACAUGAAUGAAAUUGGUUUCCACCUACUUGAACUACUACCACCAUAACCCAUACUCCAAACAAAUGAAAACAGGAUGGAACCAAAAGCAAAGAGACAACCAUCAAACUGCUUGAUUAUUAUUCUCACCCUCCUCUGCCUUGAUGGCACCAACUGAAUGGCUUUUUAAAUAACCAUCAUCAAGCUUUGAUCCAAUGAUCAGGAAAAACCUUUUAGAGCUCUUCCGUGUAUUAGGUCGAGGGAGGGCACUUGUCAAGUUUUGAAAGCCUAAAAGUGCAGCAAUGCACUUAUCUGUUCUAGAGGACUGAAGGUUGAAUUUCCCUUCUCCAUAAUAUAGAGGUAAGGUAUACAAAAAAAAAAUGGCCUUUUAAAAUGGACAGUAAGAUACAAAAGGCGUCACUUUUAAUGUGAUUCACUCGGAGUCCUACAUACUCCUUAAUUUCAUACAAGCCCAACUAGACUUUUUCUUCCCAUAAUAUAGGAGUAGUGUAAAAAAAAAAAAAGAAAAGAAUGAUUUUUUAAAUUGGAAGUAAGGUACAAAAAGUGUCACUUUCAAUGUGAUUGUGAUCCUUAAAGACAAUUACGUAAAUAAUUUUACCUUAGCAAUAUAUUAUUCAAUCACUAUCCUUGAGCAAAAUAAAGUUGCUACUAAACAAAUAAUAUCACCACAAAUGUCGGUAAAUUACCAAGAUCAGUAUCAGUAUAUAUGGUUACUACUUUUGUUAAGUGUCUAAAAUUUAUUAAACUAAAGUCGUGACUUCAUCUUCUUGACUAGAAAAGUUAGAAAACUAAUGCUGACACAAUUAGGAAUGCUUAGAAUAUAGGGAUUUUUUUUUCUUUCUGGCUUCUUUCUCAAACAUAGACCGAAUAAAUAUAAGAUAAGGUGACAUCAAAUGUUAAACUCACACGUACUAAAAGUAUGUCUAGGUUGGUGAUGGUCGGCAUUAAUUAUGUGAAAAGAUAAUAACUUCGAGGAAAAUAAUACAUUCGGCAAUAUCUUGAGUUGUGUCAGUUUAUGGCUGGAAUCUGUUUUGCAAAAGAAGAGAAAGAUCUACGUUAUAUUGGACCAUUGGAAGUAGAAAUGGUUGAGGUUCUAUCAGAGAUGCAGUCUUUUGCGACUUAGACUUAUUCCUAAAUGUCUCAAAUUAAAUUAUAUAGCCCCUUCAGUGGGCACGCUAAUUACUUUUUAAGGGCUAUUUGGAGUUGCGGUAACUUAUUAAUAAGUACUUACUUAAUAGAGUUUUUAUAAAAAUACUUAUUAAUUACUUAAGUACUUUUAAAUAUAUUUUGUUUGGAGACAUAGUUCAAUAAAUAUUUAUUAUACUGGAUAAUGUGUAAUUUGAAAAUUUUUAAAAGUGUUUAUCUCUUUAUUUGGGUCAUAAUAUAUGAUAAAAUAAUUAAAUUUGAUGUUUUAUUUUUAAAAUCACAACAGUUAUUCUAAGAGCACCAAAUUUGAACUUUUGAUAAAAGUAUUUUUAACAUCAAAUGCUCUACUCCUAAUUUUUAUUGGAUGAUAUUCACUAAACACUUUAAAGUACUUUUAACACCUAAAAGUGUUUUUUUUUUUUACCAAAAGUACUGCAACUCCAAACGGGCUUAAGGGUUCAUUUGGGAGUGAAUGAUUUGGAUAGAAAAUAAGAGAAAGACUGAUUUUCCUUUGUUUGAUAGUUUUAAGUAGGAAAGAAAAGAAAAGAAAUGAGAGGAUGAAUAGUGACAAAAAUGUUUCCUCCCAAAUUGGAAAGAAAUGGAGAGAAAGUUUGGAGAAAGCUUGUUAAUUUUUCUAAAAUGCCUAUUUUAUCCUUAAAAAUGCCUUGAAUAAAUAUUUAAUGACUUCCAUAUCCAAAAUCAUUCCACUAAUUCUCAAAACUCCCAAACAACAUAACAAUCUCUUCUCUUCUCUUCUCUUCUCUCAUAACUUAAGCUUUCCCUUCUUUUCUUUUCUAUCCUAAACUCCCAAACUAAGCCUAAGUCACAAAAGAAAAUUAAGGUUAGGGGUUUAUUCCAAUUUUUUCUGUAUAAGGUCGGUAGGUUAGAACUUUUAACAUAAUGACCCCCAUGAUUUUUCAAGUAAAACGUUUCAAUACAAGGGUUAUACAGAUCUACCUCCAAUUAAAUUGAAUUCGUUACUCAGUGAAAUUUCACUUCGAGUAUAAUUUAGUUCAAAACAAAUAACAAUUGCGUGAAACACAUGUUUUAAUAGAGUAAAAAGGUACAUUAUUUUAUACAUAUUUGAUCCUAUCUCCUGAUAAUUAUUACUAUUGAUCAUCUAAUGUUAAAAAAGGAAAUUGUUAUUAUGGAUUUAAUGCCAAUCCAUCAUGUUAAUCGUUGCCAUUAAUUCUAAAACAUGUUCAUUUUUGCAAAAUUGUUUGGAAAGCAAUUUUUCAAAGAAAAACUGCUACGUUUUUUGUGAAUACAUUUUCCAAUCACCUUUUUAUCUCACAUAAUCUAACCAAAAUAUCAAAUUGCUACAGUAUUUUUUCUACAAAAAUAUCCAAAAAAAUGCAAUCCAAACAUGACCUUAGGACUUCAUGAUUUUUGGAAACUCUACCACCCAUGCAAAAUAAUGAACAACUUUUGGUCUUUCCUCUUCUUUUUUUGUCCUUCGAAUUUAUUUGUCAUUUCCACAUGGACAGUUUUAUCCAUUCCUCUUCAUAUGCGUCCUCCAAAAUCAAAAUUCUUAUGGACUUUUUGAUAAGUAAAAUGUUUGUUCUAAAUGGAUUACAAGUAAAUACUUAGGCCCCGUUUGAUAAGUGAGUUUUUUGGGUGUUUGUCUAAAACUUUAUUGUAACUUACUGUAGAUAUUGUAGACAAAAUUUUUAAAUUGUGUAAAUUUUUGAAUAUUUUGAAGUGUAUAGUUUAAAAGUUUUGAAAUUUUUUUUGAAGUUACUAUAGUUAAAGUUGUUAAAAAACUUGUAGCAGAUAAAUUUAGCAAAAAACUUGCUUGCAAACAAGGCCUUAAUUAAAUAUGCCACUUGCUACGAGUAGACUACGAGCCAUUGACAUCAACGACUUCAAUUUUGUUCAGGAAGAAAACGUGACCCUACACCAUCCACGACUUCAAUUUUGUUCAUAGCGGAAGUCGUUACGCUUUAGUUGACAGGCACUGAAUUCAUUAACCCGACUCUCCAUCUUCCAUAACAACUCCAUCGCUGUCGCCUGGGAAUAUUUGGAGAUGCAAACGUCGUCGUCUGAAACACAUAUCCGUAUCACCAUCAUCAUCUGAAAGCAGUUCAGGAAUCUACCAUUCCGGCUCUAGAUCCUAUUCCAUAUAAGAACUUUCAGAUCAGAAACGACGACACUUUACAUUAGCUAGCUGCGGACCUUAGAUAUGAAUUCGAGGUAGAGAGAGAAGUUAUUAGUUGGAUAAAAGAUGAGUGUGAGUCACGCGACGGUGCAUCCAGUGCCUGUGGAAGCGCCGCCGCCGCAGACGGAGGAUCCGAAUGCGCCGCUAGCUGCCGGAGUGAGGAUGAAGGACAUCCAAGGGAUGCCUGGAACCGUCGGCGGCCUUUUCUUGCGUUUCGCUCAGUUCCUAUUCGCUGUGGUUGCUCUCUGCGUCAUGGCCGCGACUAAUGACUUCCCUUCCGUCACCGCCUUCUGGUAAUUAAUCUGAAUUAUCUUUUGUUGAAUUUCGCUUUUACUUGUAUUAAAUUAGUCGUAAGAUAGUGAAAUUAGUUAGCAAAGUAGACUUCUACGAAUUGAUUUUUGUUUCCCUCGCUUGAUUGACAGUUCAGUAAUUGCGAAUUUUAGGGAAAAAAUUUAGUAGGUGGCACUAGAUGUGAUAGAUUGCGUAUUAAGAAUCAUGCUAAUUCAUUUUCCCGGAUCUAAAUAGUACUCUCAUUCUUGGACGUCGUUGCUAAUUUGCAACAAACUGAUUUGAGUUGAUUAAAUUAUAUAGCUAAUAUGAACUUGUGACAGUUAAUUAAAGGUGAAUUGAUUAGAUUGAAAAUGUGUUUAUAUCGAAGAAGUUGGCGUUUCACUAGCAUGUGGUACCGUGUUUCCGUGGAUUUAAACUGAGAUUGAUCUUUCAGCAUUUUGAGAGGAAUUACUUUUUUUAAGUGAAAUGUAUUGGUUUCAUUGGUUCAGUAAAUGUUUGACGUCGAAGAAAUAGAGUAACAUGCCAUAGAACUUGUAGCCUGCUGGAAUUUUUCCUUUUCUUAAUCUACUGUGAUCGUUAUCUGUUAGUUUGUUUUUCCUAGGUGCCUUAGAAAUGAAGCAACUGCUGUUGAUACUUUUUUACCUUAACGAGAUUAUGGCAGACUUCAAGCUUGCAGAAUUCUUGAAACUCAACUUUGCAAGCUUUUUUUUCAUCAUUCUCUUCCUUGAUUACUGUGUAGGUUGUUUGGUUGUUAUGUCAGUAUUUAACUUUGAUCUGUUUUCUUUUGCCACAGUUACCUUGUUGCAGCUGCGGGCUUGCAGAGCCUGUGGAGCCUUGCACUGGCAAUUGUUGAUGUCUAUGCUCUUCUAGUUGGACGCAGCUUGCAAAACUAUCGACUUGUUAGCUUAUUUGCUAUUGGUGAUGGUGUAAGUUACAAUAUCUGGUUGCUCGUGCCCAUUUGAAAUUUUGAGAAAGCGAUAUAUAGUUUCAUUUUGUGUCUAAAUUUUUGGAAUGUGCUUGUUUGCUGCUUGUUAAUCUGUGCAGUUGGUUUAACCUUUCUUAUGUCUGUGUCAUUUAGAAUAGUUAUGUUGAGAGGCCAUUCCCUGUGUUUGUUUGGUCAAACCACCUGUCUUCUAAGAUGUUGUAUUGGAACUUUAGAGAAAAAUGCUUCUUUUGUUCUGAGCGAGAAGGUUCAUCUAUUCAUGGAGCAAUAGAUGGCCCAGUUUCGGGGGAGGGGGUUGGAGGAGGUGAUCAAAUGCUGUAUGUGGCCAGAUUUUCAAUGUUAGUUUGACAAUAUUCUUCAACAGUAGAGAUGUAAAGAAAUUAUUCUAGGUCAUUGCUUGCUUUUCAACAGUAGAAAAACAGCUAGGCUUUUGCUGAAGAAUUCGGAAAAAUCUGCAGCAAUUUUGUGACUUGUUACUUGAUACCUCUUCAGUAUGUCAUGAUAUCGCAUGGAUUUUAAUUCAGUAAUUUCAUUCAGUUCGACUACAUUUACCUUAAAUUUUCUGAUCUGGUAUCGCAUCUUUGUCUUGUUCAUUCUUCUUUAGAUAAACAUGUUUAGUAGGGGGCAAGUUGGUACCUUCUUUAUCUAUUUUAAUCCCUUUCCUCGAUAAUGACAAAUUGAUUCCAUUUCUACUAGAGUCUCUCUACCUUUUGUGGCUACUGUUGCUCCAAAGGAUUUCAUAAGAUAGUUUGGAUUUGACACUCUCCUCUAAAACAUGCAUCAAACACAGUAACAUUUUGCCUUUUCUUUUGGGGUUAAUUUGGAUACUGCUGCUUCUACAAUAAGCUAUUUCCCGCUACCAUUCAUGUUGUUGACAUUGGGCUCUUACCCUUUCCAUUAAUACUUUCUGCUACCGUCUCUCUCUCUCUCCAAACGUGCAUAUAGUGAUUAUGAUGGUGUAUCUAGAUUGUUGGCGGUCCAUUUGCUAGUGUCCACAGACAUUAGUAGACGCUCCAGAUGCAACGAAUUGAUUACACAGUCAGAUUGAUGCCAGUGUGAUGAACGCACUCGAGUUCCAUUCUUAUGGUUGAAGUUUGUCACCUCCAUGUCAUUGGCUUAUUAAGAAUGGUUCUUUCUCUGCAGGUCACUUCCACCCUUACAUUUGCUGCAGCCUGUGCAUCAGCUGGAAUCACUGUUCUAAUUGGCAAUGAUCUUGGUAGUUGUGACCAAAAUCAUUGCACAGAGUUUGAGACUGCAACUGCCAUGGCUUUCCUUAGUUGGUUUGCUGCAUUGCCGUCAUUUUUGCUCAACUUCUGGUCUCUUGCUUCAAGAUGAAGAGCGCGAAGUUGGUAUUUCUCGGAAAGAUGAUACCAUAAGGUAUCAUUUGAUGGCGUGCUGUUUGUAUGAUUGUUAUAAUAUUCUGAUGACACGUAUGUGUAAUGGAAAAUUGAUGCAGCACUAUUUGUACAUACACACUGUAAAUUGGUCAAAGUUUUGUCACAGUAUAUGAAAGGAUAUGAUUUGCGUUGUCCAGCCUCACUGGGAUAUUUUGUUGCAUGCGGUUGAAACGCGACGAACUAAAAGUCUAAAACGUACUAUUUCGACCUUGUUACAUGGAACCACAAUUUAUAAAUGAGGUUCAUCAAAUUGAACAUCUCAGUAUUCAAAUUAGUUUGAUUAUUAUUAAUCAAAUCGAACAUCUUAGUGUUCAAAAUACAAGCAUGCUUGAUUAUUUUAUCAAACUUGAAAAUCUGUUUACAAGUUUAUUUGAUUAUUUUAUCGAAUUAAACUCAAAUGAGUUUUUAUCCAAUCAACUUUAAAUCAAACUCGAGUAGCUUAUCUAUAAAUUUUAAUUUUAUGUUAGUCCAGCUAAGCUUGAGUCGAGCUCGAACGUUGAAGGAAAGAAAGAAAAAUUCAGCCCUAUCUAUAAGGAGCAAAAAUAGAUAAAGUAGAAGGAAUGGAUGAAUUUCAAAAUUGGUGACUACUGAUAGAUUCAAUUGAAGCCGUAGAUCCUCGUCAUCCCUGACAUUCGGCAUACAGAUUAAUAGUAUAAAAGAUUGGAACACUGAGCCUACUUCGUACAUAAACUUCGCCACUUGGCAUCCUUACCAUUACUAUGGAUUACGGUGUGAUUUGGCUUUUGAUCAUAAACUUCAAUUGUAGUUUGAUUGAUUGCUGAAAAUGGGAGAGGGACGAGGAGAAGAGGACUUGCCGAGAGAUGCAUAGAUCGUGAAAUCGCCGCUAAAAUCAAUGGCUGUGGAAGACUACGGGGGUGUCAUCCACCAAUUCUUGCAAGUUUGUUACAACAGGUACGUGGUGUAUGUACUUAGGAAUGGGCAGAUUUACUCGGACCACGCCGGCAAAUCUGUGAUCGAUUCCGACGAUGUCAAGCUUGCCAUACAGUGUCAAUUUCAGCUUCUCGCACCCUCCUCCAGGUCAUCAGGUAUAUCUAUCUAUUAAGUUAAACUGCCAACUCUGCUCAAUUUCAUCAACAGCAAGAAAGACUCACUUUCAUCAAUCCUAUCGUUUCGACAAAAAAAGAAAAAAAGAAAAAGAGGAAAGACUCACUUUCAUCAGCACUAGUUCUUUAUUCAUUUUCAGUCUUCCCCACUUUGAGGAUUUUUUUAAUUGAUUGCUGAAUUUUUCAAGAUUUUAUGGCAAUGGGUAUGUAAAUUUUGUCUUUUUUUCGCCUGCCAUGUAUCCUUCUUGUGUACUCAGAUAACGUUCUUAUAUUUGGUUACUUUCAGGUCCUACUAGAAUUAGCUACGAACAUAAACAACCUGAACUUUACCAAAAUCAAUUGCCGGGCCUGGAAUUCCACUCCCUCCUGAACAGGACCACCCUAAUUAGCCCCAACUACCAGUUUGCUAUUGCAAGAAAAGAAACCAAACCAAGCAAGCAGUUGAAGAAACAGAUGGAGAGACUGCUGAUCCUCUUCCCAACAACAGAGGAUAGAUGCUUCGCCAGCCACUCUUCAGCCUGCAAUCUUUUCCAAUUGGACCUAAACGAUCAAGAUGAGCUUUUUAGUCUGGCUGGCAUUGCAGGCGCCUGCAGGGCAUACAGUCCCGUAUUGGGUUGUGUACAUAUUUUUCUCACAGCAAAGUUCCCAGGAAUGUCAACAUUUGUGAUCCCCCUUUUCUUGAGCUUGACUGCCUUCACGGAAGCAGGGAGUUGGGGCCGAGACAGUAGUUAAGGUGCUUUAACCUGGGGCUUGUGUUGACCGUUUGUUGGUUAGGUGGUUUUUAGGUACAAGCUGUAGCACAUACACCAGGAGGGUUAUCCUUAUCCCACAAAAUUUUCUAGUCAAGCUGUUUUGAACUCGGAUCUAACGAGGGAAGCAAUUCUCUAUUGAAGAUAAAAUAGAAAUCUUAAAGAGCAGAAAUACGUUACAAUUAUAAAUAAAUCAAUACAGACGGGGUGGGAAUUGAAUAUUACAAAACUUUUCAGCUUCCUCUUUCCUGGAUCAACAACCUUUUCUGUCGAGGCUCUAAUGCAAUCUUAUAGCGAAAGAGGACGGUUUCAUUAGCUGGUACUCGCAUUUACACGAAAGACCAAUUGACAAAAGUGAAAGCAAGGCAAUGGACAGUAUUUUCAUCUGCCGCAAGGACUUUCCAGGCAAUGGCUUGUUCAUAUGAAACAUGGCGCCCCAUUGUUGACAUGCAUAUUCCACCAGGCAAGUAAGCAAAACCCUGAGAAUUGAAUAUAUAUAUAUAUAUAUAUUAGGCAAAGUACAGGAUUAACAAGCACGCAAGGAACUUCCAAGAAAACAACACCCAUUAUUAUAUUGGUAGAGACACGGACAUGCAAUAAAAUGAGUUUCAUGGCAUUCAUGAAUAUGCAUAUGGAAAGAAUUUUAUUAUUUCAAUUGAAAUUUGGAAUAAUCCCAUUGCGAAUAGACAUGGAAUAAAUUAGCAGCAUUGUAUGCUCAGCCUUGGUGAACUAAGCUGCAACAUUGUAUGCUCAAACUUGAAUGCGAUUUUACAGGACAGAUUUUUUUUUUUUUUUUUUAUAAAUUUUAAGCCACCAGAAUUGCACGUUUUUUGAGAUUAUUAACAAAUAAGCUUCUAGGAACAUCCAGGAUACCUGUUGCAUGAUCUUUGCAAAUUCAGCAAAGAGUGCCUUGCGCCCUGUGUCGUCAAAAAUCUUAUCUAAGGUGACAUCUUGUAGAGCCACCAGGGUCGUCUCCAGCAUGUCAAGUCCAGCUUGAUUUGCAAAUAUGAAAACUGGCAGUGACUGCAGCACAAAGAAAGUCCAAAAUAAUUUAGCCAGUAUAUUGCCAGUGAGACCAAAUAAAUAAAUCAUAAUAAUAAUAAAUAAAUAAAAUGGAGUUAAGUCGAGCUCUGGAAAGCGAGCACCUAUCAAGCCUCAAGUGAACAGUUCGCUAACUUGAAGGUGAAGUACAGGGAAUGGGAUGGAAGACAAAAAGCAACCAAAUAAAAGCAGCAGCAUUUACUAACACAUAUUUCGUGUACUAUACCUUCAGUGAGCAGCACAAAAUGGCAUCUUGAUGAAGCCAGAGAUUCUUUAAUACUGUAUCACCAUUUAAAGGAUCAGCUCUCAGCAAUUCUGCCCCCAUAUGGUAACUGAGAAUUGAUAAAACAAACAACACAUGAGAAGCAGGAUUGUUACUUCUUUUAACUUCCCGACUUUCUUUUCGCUCAGAUGCAAGAAGUAAAAGGAUUUUGCUCCAGAAAUAUUCCAGGCAAUACCACUCUUAGUGAACAUUUAACUAAUCAUCAGACUAGCAUUGAAGUGAUGAUCAGAUUGACCAAGACAAACAUUACCUAUAACUCUGACAGAUCCAGUGAGCUAGUGUCAGAGCUUCAGGAGAGCCCGGGGAAAGCUUUGGUCCAACAGUGGGGCUUACUCCUGAUGGGGAAAUAGCCAUGGCAACCCUCUGUACAGAAGAAAUCACACUUCGAAGGUACUGGCGUGCCAUGGUCGCAACAUUUUCUUGAAGAUUGUUUUCAAAGGGAAACUGGAAGGCAAUAGUUAAUACUGAACGCGCAUUGUAACAUGAGGAUGCAUCUGCUGCAGUGGUGGCUGAAGCCGGGCCAACUUCAAGACUUGAGGUCAGAUCCAGUGUCCUAUUUGUAGGUAAUGUGUCAUGUGCAUCACCCUGUACAAAAAUCUUAUUAGUCAUCCCACGAAAAUAACUUGAAAACAAGUUCAUAAUACAAAAUGCCAAUCCAUUCAAACCACAUGCUAAAGUAACAUCCAAGAGGACUAACAUGCCCACAAAAUCUAGUGCCACAUAUCUACAAUUAUUAAUGAUUCUUUACAUAACAAAUGACUGCAAGAAACGUAACUUGGAUUGUUCAGCUAAAUCACUUAAUUGACAAUGGUGCAUCUCAUACUACCAGUGUUCUAUUCAUAAGCAAAAGCAGAAGUAUCAACUUGUUAUUGGAACCAACAAUCAGGCCAAUAUUCAGAUCAUUAUUAAAUCCACCAGUCUUCAGGAAGAAACGAUAAGUUCUAAACGAAGAAUGUCGAACUCAACUGAUUUUGAUUCCAAAGGAAUGAUUCGGAAACCCGAGGGUAGCAGUGGGGCAUCAUCUGGGAACAUUUCAUCAAUUGGAGCAAAAACGAGUUCAGAGCAGGCUCCAAUGGCAUUCUCAUCAACUCCGCUGCACAUCUGCAGAGGAUCCCUUUUCAGAGCUAGGUGUUUACAUCAUUUAGUCUACAUUAUGACCAAGAUAAUAAAGGAAAAACCUGUAAGAGAUGAAUGUCUCUUGACAUAAAAGCAUCUUCUUGCCCAAGAGAGUGCCCUUCAAGUCGUAUUACUUCAAGCAUCUGGGAGGCAAUAACGAAUGAGAGCGUAGAAGUCAGGUAAUCUUAGAUAUUAAAAUUAUCCAGCAAAGUAAAGCAGUCCAUUCACAUCAAAUGAUAAGUUGGAAACAGUUUAUUUUGUCCCUUUGAAGAAGAGGAUCAUCAAUUGAAAAUGAAAACUUUGACUAUCUACAGAAUUUUGACAUAAAACACAGAAAACACAACAAACUCCGCGGUGGGACUUGCAGUGGCACCAAUACACAAAAGCAGAGGAUAUAUGCAUGAUGUGCAUUACAAAGAACAAGAACAUGAGACAACCACCUAAUAUAUACCUCCUCAUGUUCGAUUGUGUGGCCAAGGGGCAUAAUAAUUUGGCUUCCAGUAAACCUAGUUGGCCUCAUUCCAGGAUAUGCAUAUGAACCAGCUUUCAAAGAAGCAGCAGAAUAGGCAUCAAUAUUAAAAUCUGCCCACUCUGAACGGUGUUCCCUUAGGAAGCGAACCAGCACGGCAGGAGGUACAUUCUGUAAGAAAUAACAGAUAGUUCUGUCAUUUACUUAAAUGCAUUAACUCAUGCUGUAUUAUUGUAUCUAUUUCACAAUUUGAAGGAGGUCUGCAUUUUUCUUGGGAUGCCACAUGAAAGCAUUGCAGAGUGCUUGUCUUGGAAUCAUAUCAGUUUUCACGUAUUUGUUUCACUACCAAGCAAGAUUGCUUGGCUGAGGACGUAAUAAUGAAGAACAAAUUGUGAGAUAAGUUGCUUGCCUGGAGUAGCAUGGAGGCUUUUGCACAGAGAAUGCCUCCAAUCACGGAAAGAGAAUUGGAUGAGGUGCUCAGGCUCUUGGUUGAAUUAACUGCAAUAAUCACAUCUUCAGCGCCAUCACAGCUCAACAAUGACCAGCCAUCAUCAUUGAAUCCAUUGAUGGCAUCAUUAAAGCCUCUACAGGAGGAAAAAAAAUCAUCCGCUGAAAACCUCAAUAAAGCACAUAGAAAACACCAAACAAAAAUCAUAACAGAAAAGACAGAAUAUCACAAAAUGCAGCAGAAUGAUACUAAUGGUAUUUGAGCUUGACCUGCUUAAUCUCUGGCUAAAUGUUCUAAGCACAGCUGGUUGCCUGCCCAGGCCAUAUACAACCUCACCACUCGUCUCCUGAGCUAUUUGUCUGACGUAUCGCAAGGCCUUCAAACAUUAAAAAGAAGUAAAUAAAAGUUGUCCACCCACCAGGGUAGAAGUUUAGACUUUCAAAUGUGACAAACUGCAACCAGACGCUUUAUGAACAGAUACAGCUCAUUAAGUCCUCUAAUCCAACUACCUCCAGUCGCCUAAAUUCUUAAGCAUAACCUAUCAUUCUGCAUGGUAAAAAUAAUUGUUCAAGUCCCCAAUUCCAGCAUAAAAGUUGUUGUCAUGAUAGCAAAUAUCUCAAAAGCUGAACCGUGUUAGGAAUUUUAAGAAUCCAAAACUGCCAACUACUGAAGGAGUUGUUUAAAAUUUCUAAAACUGCCUUGGUGUAAUUGGCCCCCUUCAUAUUUUAGGAAUCUUGUCCUUUUGCUUUUCUGAGAUUGGGAAAACAUUUAAACCAGUGCCCAAAGCAUUUAAUAGUGUGAUUGCUUUAAAUCAAAUCAUUUAAUAGUGGUUGCUUUAAAUCAAUUGUCUAAACUUAGGUUUGUCUAAAACAAACCUUUAUCGAAGUUAAGCGUUGUGCUUGCUCAAGCAUUUAAUAGUGGUCGCUUUAAAUCAAAAGCAUUUAAUAGUGGUUGCUUUAAAUUUCCAAAGUUAGAGUUGUCCAAAACAAUUGUCUAACACAAUUUUUUUUCUUCGUUCUGUAUCGAAGCAUUUAACAGUGGUUGCUUUAAAUCAAACCUGUACUAAAAACUCAUAAACUCAAUAGACAAAUUUGUUCAUAAAAGUUGCAUUGCGGUGAACAAAAAACUUGUACAAGGAUUUAAGAUCAAAACAGCACUUGACUCACCGCAAUGGUCAUUUUCUGCGCCACAACUUUUGACGAUUCAUAAAGUGGUCGCAGCACCUCUGGCACACUCCAUGCCUGGACAGUUGUGUAUUUUGAGAUUUUGCCUGGGUGGGCCAAUAAAUGCAUGAUAGACCAGUGUAGGUAUAAACUAACCUCUAAGUUUAAAUGAUCAACGAUGUGGAUGAUUGAUCCUCCACCGUCGCAUGGCCUUAUCAAAUAACCAGAUGGAAGCAUUUCAGCUCUUGUGAAUUGAGAAGCUGCAGCUGCAUUUGGACCAGCCCCAGUACCGGACAGAGAUCGUUCACAAACCUUGAAGAAAUUAAAAAAAAAAAACAGUGAAAAUGCUUGUUUGAUCCACUUUGUUUCUAUCAGCAUCCUUCUAUAUGCAGACACUCAAAGUUCAAAAGGUAAAAAUUACUUUUAGUGGUAGUAAAGCUGAAUAAACAAGAUCCAGAUAGAUUUCUAAGAAUGCAAGAACCAUUUUAGGAUGAGAAGUAUCAUAAUUAUAUUUAUGUUGAAAGAGAGGUAAAACCCUUUACAAGAUAUUUGUUCAUUAGAUUUUUAGCAGGCAAAGCGACCUAUGCAACAAAGGAACAAUUAAGAGGAAGGAUUCAUAAAUUAGUUGAAAAACUGUAUUACUAAGGGGAAACAUCAGAAAUACUUCAUUAUAGUAAAUAAACACUGAUAAUUGCCCCUACGUCAUAGACCCAUUUCCCUUUCAUUUAGAUUACCAUCACAGAUCCAUGAAUGUCAACUCAUUGUUUCAAAGUCACACAAGACUAGAUCCUGUAUCCCUAAGCUUCCAAUCUUGCUUAGCAAUCAGCCAGUAUGAUGCCGAGAACUAGAAGAUCUUUGAGUUCUAUUUGAACAAAAAUGUCCAGAAAUAUCCAUACCACAAGACUACCAUUCUCUAAGGUGGUUGUGUAUCUCAGAGUCCAGAAAUCACGUGCAGGAGCCAAUGUAGUCGGAGCAUAUAUCUGCAAGCAAGUUUAGAUUCAUUAGCUUCUCUUAUUUGACAGUCUGCCCAAAGACACGACAGAAUGUGACUUCAAGGUAAAUAACCUGAGUAUACACAAGUUCAAUUGUCCCUCCAUUUCCAGCAGGAAACAUAGUGAAGACUUCAAGGCUCCGACAGUCCCGGAACCAAGAUGGGCGGUCUUUAAGGAUCUCUGCAAUCUGUCAAAGUUCAGAGAAUAAAGGCAGGCAUUUGAUCAUCAGCAAUAUAAGAAGUCAUAUUAAGCAAAAGCUGUUAAAAAGAAGUCACAUGACGUAAAAGGCCAACACAGCAAUUUCCACAACUAAGCCUUACCUUUGUUGGUUCCAAACUAACAAGACCACAGGCUCGAGCUGCCACUCCACUGCAACUAUGUGAAAUGGCAAAGAUCCCAACCGAAUCCGGACCAGGCUGACAAUAAAAUUUUUAACAUUGGCAGAAAUAGUGUCAAUUGUUGGAGAGGCAGAUGGAUGGAUGGAUAGCAUCAUAAUUUACAAGUGGAAAUAAAUUAAGAAACUGAUUGAGCAAUGAGAUUCAGAAACUCGUACCUUCAUCCCAGGCAUCUGCACCCAAUCAACAGCAGUUCCUGUAGCCUUUGAAAGGAACUCUGUCAAGGUCUCCUCUGCAAUCGACAAUAGUCUGCCAAAAACCAAAAGAAACAGUGCUAACUACCAACCAUUCUUUCACUCAUAAUUUACAUAACUUACAGCUUGUGCUCGUGUGCACACAAAAGGAGAAAGAGAGAAUGGCUAAUAAUAGAAUAAAUAAUUACCCUGCAGGGUUGUUAGCAUCUCUUAGAGAAUGCCGAGGAGUGGUUACUACCGAUUCACAACUUGCAUCAGUGGUAGUAGCAGCAGAUGCCUACAGAAAUAGAGUCAAGAAAUUUUUUAGCAGGAUGACGAAUUUCUCAAAUAGCCUCGAAGAUCAACGUCAUCUUUAUAAAUGGGAGAAGUUGCAUGUGUAUGUAAUGGUGAUAAUCAUUUAUGUGAUGGAACCAGUAGAGAGGGCGGGGAACCUACAUGCACGUAAAGCAAAGAAAAUAAACCAAAUCAGUGAUGAAAAUCCAACUAAAGCACAGGAGAACAAAGAAAAAAUCAAAAUCCCAAUGCUCAAAGUCCCUAUCUUUCUGUUUGAAUGUAUACUUUUAGGGGGUUUUUUUUGUGUUAAUAUUACAAUGAAGAGAUUUUUUGUUCAGAAUGUGCCAAGAACAGCUAGGUCUCUAUGAAGGACCUGAACUGGUGAGCCUUAGAAUCAUAAUCUAUGGCAGAUAAAUGCAGAUGCUAGGUAGAUUAAUCCAUCACGCUUUGCUGCUUGCAUCUAACUUAAAAACAUUAAAGAUGAGUGUUAAUGUGGGCAAUGAAACAAGCUAAGUUUCCAACAUACAGUUUGCAACUGCUGCCUCAUAUACCCAUUCUCACAGACCAGCUGUGAGACCUGCUUCUGCAGGCGAUCAUUCUCUUCCAUCAAUAGUUUGUUCAUUGCAGUCAACUUUCUAUUUACAGUUUGGAGCCGAGAAGACUCUUUUCGCUGCUUCUCUCGACACCUGCGUCAGAAAGUAACCGUCUUAUUUUAGCAUCCAUGGUAAUACUUGAUCUAGAACAAGCACAACUCAAUCAAGUAUGUUUUAGAUCAAUUCAAAUUCAAAUAUAUCUAAUUAACCUCCACAGACAAACUACCUUCAGGGUACUAAUUAUUAAAACCUCAAAUUAGUGUUGUAUGUUCAAAUUCAAAUAGAUUUGGCGUAUAAUAAGCAGCAGCUAACUUAAUCGGAAUUAAUACAGACUCCAUUCUGAGUAACAAAAUUGCGAGAAUGCAAGAAAUGCAUAACUAGAAAUGAACGAUCCAAAAUGAAGGUGGGGGAAAAAAGGAACAGAAGCAGGCCGCCUUGUAUGACAAACAGCAUAAAAACUCUUUCAUACCUGCGAUUCUGAAACCAGACUUUGAUUUGCUUAGGUUCAAUGUUUGACAGAAUCGGACAUUCCCGAAUCAACUGCUGCCUACGUAACGAGCUGGGCUUAGGACACUCAGUAUAAACCCUCUCCAAAGCCUCAACUUGCUCAGCAGUGUACCUUACAUACUUUCCAGAAUCAAUACUACUAUUCUGCUUGCUAAUACUCCCACUGCUACUCUCCCUGUGCUGCUGUGCCACCAUAGCCAUUUUUUCCUUCCACCCCGCAAACUCAAUACUUCACAAUGUACAAUUCCACGGAAUUAUAGAAACUCUGAGAAUUCAGCAGCACCACAAUAUGUACCAACAGUUUCUGAAGCAAAGGCCCCUUUUUCCCCUUGUUUUCUCCCCAGACUUGUUCUCUAGUGAUAUCAGAAAACAUGAAACUGACGAUGAUCUUGGGUAACCACAAGAUUCCUUUGUCCUAGGUGUCUUAGACUGUGAAAGGACCCUAAUAAUCUUCAAGACUCAACCUUCAAAUUUGAUGUAGAGCCAAAAUAGCUUAACCAAAGCUAUGGGUUAUUGCAGAUCACACACAUACUGACAAAAACCAAUCCCUUCGGUUUAUCUUGCUUUUCACAUGAAACCUCCUACACGUCUUACUUUUUUUUUUUUUUCCCUCUUUCUGUUGUAAGUUGUAACCUCUUCUUAGUUCUCACCCUUGUUCACGCCAAAGCUCCAAUCUCAGACAGAAAAACUCCAAAUUACAGACAACCAAAGCCUGAAAAGCAGAACCCAACAAAUUUCCAUCAGUAUUAGUCCACAAGUUUUCAACCACAGAAAUAAAACCAGUCCUGUAAACCUCUGCUUUAAGGAGAGUUAAAAGUGAAAACCCAAGUCAUGGUUCGCUAAUGCGAGGACGAGUUAAGCUCAGGAAGCCAAAAAAUAAGCAACUUUCACCUCCAAGAAAAAUUUACCCAAAACGAGAAGGCCUUGAGGGUUCAAAGCAGACAAACUGACGAAGCUUUAUGCCAAGAUUGACAGCUGGAAAUCUGUCACAGUAACUGAAGAGAAAAAUGUCAUCUCUUUCAUUCCUUCUAGAAGCGCCAAAAUUAAAAAAAGAAAAAGACAACAAUGCAAGGGGACUCUGUAACUUCCACCGGUCUUUCUCCUUUCCCUUGUCAAGAAAAAGAAAGAAUAAUAAGAGACCUUACCCUUUAGACAUUAGAGAAGAACCCGUGAAGCCGAUUUUUCAAAGAAAGAAAAACCCAGAUAAAACAUCAACCGAACAUUGAAGACAAAUGAAGUGUUUAAGCAAAAAAGAUUCAAACUUUAGUGGGGAAUAGAAGCUUAUUAUUUUCAACAAGGAAAGAAAGUGACUGGUCUGAUGAGCUGAGCGAAUGAGGGCUAAAGAGACAGUGGUGGGUGGGUAAAGAAAGAGAAAGAAAAAGAAAGAAAGAGAAAAAAGAGUUUAUUGAGGCCUUUGAUUUUUGCUCGCAAAUCGAAAAUAGCAGGAGUGUUUUAUGCUGGGGCUGCUGCUGCCGCUAGCAGGACUAUUGCUAUUGCUGAUAUAGUGCUGCUUCUGCUCAGGAUUUUCUUUUUAUCUCUGUCCUAAUCUUUUACUGUUUUGUGUACCCUGUUUUAUACCCUCCUGUGGUGUCUGGAUGUAGUAUCUGUUUGUUUGGAUUUGUGAAAAAGUUGUAAGGAACGCAUUUACUUACCAUACCACCCAGUACCCCUGUUGUCUUCAUUAGCCCCUCAAACUAUUGACCCUUUUUUUUUUUUUGCCCUUUUCUUAAUUAUUGUGGAUUACUCUGUUUAAUGCUUUAGUCAAAUCACAGUAACAAAAUCUUCUGCAAACCCCAAUUGGCUGUUUCUGUACCUGACUCUGCCCUUUGGUCCAGCCAGCCAUCAGGAUCGAUCAGGCCUCUCUCUCUCUCUGUCUCUCUCUCUUUCUGACUGAGCAUUUUUAGGUUUUGUGCUCUGAAUCUGAAUCAUCUACUAGUACUAAAGUUUUGUCAUUUUGACAGAAAAGGCUCACCUUUUUCUUUUAAUUUUCUGAUUUUGUUUGGAAAUUUUGGGAUUAUCCCAUCCCUUUUGGAGACUUCAAAAAUUUUUUGCCAAAGAAAGCAAGAGCUAAACGCAGUUGGUGAAACAUGUGUUUUUCUUCCUCAGAAAAGAACAAAUACAUGUUUUUCUCACCGUGUUGACAACUCUGGUUCAACACUUGGGGAAGACACACCUUAUGUAUGCACAAAUCAAAAGAAAGAAAAUGAUAAGACAAAUAAAGAUGAAAUUUUAUUUGAAGUUAUUACGAGUUAAUGAUUUUCUUUACCAGAUUUGUUGUAAGACAUUUAAUAAAGGCAGAGAUGAAAAUCCAUGAAAAUAAAAGAUACACAUAAAAGCACCAAGCUAUUUUCACUUUUAAGUGCAUAUUGGAUGUUUUGGGAUCCAGAUUUUUGCUUAAGAAAGCAAGAGCUAACCAAACCAAACUAAGUCUUGAAACGCAACUCUUGCUUCCAAAGAGAUGUUUUCUUUUUUCUUCUGCUUUCCCUUUUCUCUUCGGGCAAAAGUUGGGGAUGGUAGUAUAUGCUAAGACAAAGUAGUUAGAUGUGGAAUCUUGGCUGUAACCCAACCCAACUGAACUCAAGGCAACAAAGGUUAAAUCUUAAUCUUGAUGUAUCAUGUCACAGGGUCUGAAGUCUGAAGCGUGGUGUGACUAGUGAGAAGGGACUUUGUUCUGUUGGAGGAGUAAAUUUUGUUCUCCCCACUUCUGCUCCUUUUCACACGCCGAUUUGUCAUUUUUAUUCAACAGAAGAAUGGGGAGGGGCUGGGUACUUUAGCCGGAAUAUUUGGAGUACUGCCCUGCCCUGCAGCGCCGAUAGUACUUGUGCAGGGCAGGCCGCAGCGAUGCCCAAGAAACUUUCCCUCCCUCCCUCUAAAAGCUGCUUAAAGCUCAAUCUGUCCCCUCCCCGGCUCCAUUGAACGGCUACUGUGCCUGUGCAAUUCGACAGAGCCUCCCCGCAUCUAUAAAAGCUCCAAUUUUUUUAACCGCUAUGCUUUCAAAGGAAUUUCACGAGUCAAGUCAAAUUUUUGCAUUGUAUGUUUGUGCGCGCGCCAGCGAGCGAGCGUCCGUAUAUUUGUUAUUUGAAAAUUUGUUUUAUUUACGUCUCAAACACAUUUUUUUUAUUUCAUAUGCAUAACAUUAUAAAAAAAGUGUUACAAUAAAAAUACGUUAAAUAUUUUCUUAAAUAAUUUUCUAUACAAAAUUGUAUUUUUUUGAACUUUUUGCAAAAAAUGACUAUAACGAUUUGAUAUAUAUGAGAUAAAAAAUAAUUAAAAAAUAUGACACGAAAAAUGUAACAAUUUUCCUUUAAAAAUCGAAAUGACCUUUAUUUCGAUUGCGAAUCCCAUGGACUUACCUGGUCUUGCUUUUGCUGACAUGUUUCCUUACUUCUCGUGAAUCUAUUUGGUUAACUGUCUAACUUGCAAUACAUCAUUGAUCAGAGCUCUCUUCAACGAAACAUUCCGUUAAUUAAAAUAAAUUUCUCAACUUUCAUCUUUUCCGCUUUUUCAACUGCAUAAAUAGUAGUACUAUUUUAUAAUGCUUUUUUUUUUUUCAAUUUGGGGAUGGCUCUAAAGAAAAGGGGAAAAAAAACUGUACGAAAGUCACACCAAGAAUUUCUCGAUCACCUAAUUAAAAUAUCCCUCUCAAUUAAGUUGAAUCUUAAGCGCUGUGACGUGAGUCCCGUUGCCUUUUAAUUUGAGGAUAAACACUCAAUCCACUCAAACAAUAAAAAAAAAAACUGACUAUUUCAUAAAACAAGGGUACAUUUAGUACUAAUCACUUAAUGCAAAAACCAACAACUUGGGAAGAAAAUAUCAUAAAACACAGCCCCAUUGUUUAAAUCUUGUAAUCAGUAUGAAAAAAAAAAAACUCUUUAUUUGAGUCACUUUUAUUUAUUGUUUGUGAUAAAUCAAGUAAUUAGUUGUGUCACGUACAUGAAUCGCAUUUCAUCAAAAUCAGAACGAUGUGGGCACAAUAAUAUAAGACGUUAGCACCUAAAAAAAUUCGCCAAAUCCACAUGAUAUGUUGUCCGAAUGAGGAUCACCAUUCCCAGCAACAAGCUUGGAAACAGGAACAUGUUGGAGACGCUGCUGUGGUGAUCUCCAGUUAGUUAGGAAUGGAAUGAUUAAUUGUAAGAAAGAAUUUAAUGGCAGAUUACCAAUCCCUCGUCGUAUCUUUGCUUUUUUUUCAACUGACGUGACUAAUCACUGAUGAUUUAGGUAAGAGACCAGAGUUUAAUACAUCUUGCCAUUGAUUUCAAUCUUCAAAGAAUUUUGCACAGAUAGUCCGACUGUGAUUGGCUGCUGAUCAUCUGGUACAAUUGCUGGCUUUUUACUUUUAUCAUUGUUAAGUCUGAGUCAUGUUCAAGAAUGUCAACCAACGCCAUCAAUCUUCUUCAACAAUAAUCUCUCCUUUUUUCCAUCAUUAAUUUAUAUUAUUGAUCUAGAAUGCGAUGAAGAUUAACCCAAAUUUCAUGGGGCUCUUGGCUUCAUUACUUGUCGAGGUAAAAUUGAAUAGCAUGCAAAAAUAACACAUUCUUCUUUCGAGAAACGAAAUUUGACUAAUUAAACCUAAUCCCAGAAGUCAACUCAAAAGCCGGCAACUCUUGAAUUGCUCCCAGGGACUUAACUACCCAAACGCCGGCAAAAAUAACACUUUCAGAUAUGAAGAAGAUUCUGUCACAAAAUCAAACGCAUUCUACAACAAAAAACAAUUUUUAAUAAUUUGAUCAAGGACCACCACAACUGUACAAACACACCCUUGUCAUCAUACUCUCAAUUCCUAAAUGUAUACGAGUAAUAAUUUUUUGAGUCCAAGUCAACAACAAUUUCAUGAAAAUGAAAAUGGUGGUAUUUGGCAAGGGCAGUAUGGAGAAUUUAAACGAGGGCAAAUGUGAAAAAGAACCUCUCAGCCCACUUCCCCCCAUCCCCCCAAAAACAAAAAAAGAAGAAGGAAAAAAAAAAAAAAGGCAUAGACCAUAGUCACCAUACACCAUAGUGAGUGAGUGAGUGAGGGAGGAAGGAGGGACCAGGAGCAUUGAAAAUGAGUUGCAGGAGUCUGGACUGCGGUUUCUUAAUUCCAGACCAAAGUUCUUAAAAAAAAGUGAAUGCGCGCAUGAUAGCAUUAGUGGACCUUAAUUUUGACGCCUUUAUCAAUCAAUCUUUGUCAAGUGGCAGUAACGCAACGCUGCUGCCAGAAUCCUUCCGGCGCGCACGUUAUCUCUGGUCGGUCUCUGUUUACGCCGGGAUCCGCUAAAAUUACUCCUAAUUUUUACUAGUUAGUAGUACGCUUUUUGUUUAAAUUUGAUUUUUUUACCUCUUUUUUUCUGAAAUUAUGUAUGCUACUAUGUAUUUCCUUUUCAUAAAAAAUAAAUUACUAUUAUUAACUAAAUUACCAAAAAUCGUCUAACACGAAAUGCUUAAUAAAGUUGGGUGAGAAAUUCCAUAAACAUUCCGUAAGGUUGAGUAUUUCUUUUAGUAGUAUAAGGAAAAAAAGUUUUUAAAUUUGUGAUAACAAUUUUAUAUCUUUAGAAAAUAUAGAUUUUGACGGGCCUCAAAAGCUAAGAUAAAAAGUUAAUGUGAAAAUAAGGAUGUAUAUUGUAAGUACAUUGAGACGUUCUCUGGAAAAAAAAUCUUUUUUUUUCUUUUACUAAGUAAGUAUAUAGACAAAUAAAGCAUGAAGUUGAUGCCAAAAUAUUUUGAUAUGUACCGAUUUCUAUUUGAUUCUGUAAAUCACAAAUAUUAGUUUUGGACUAUAUAAUAAACAAAAAAAAAAAAGUAUGGAGUUAAAUCUAGAAAUCCUUUUGCUUGGUACCCAAAAAAAAGUCCUAUUAAAUAAAAUACUUUCAAAUUAAUGCUUUUAUUAAUUACGAAACAAGACAUUCUUCAUCUUUUUGGUCUCGAGAGGUUUUUUUUUUUUUUUACUUCUUCCUUUUUUAAAAAAGAAAAAAAUUUUGCACAAUAAUAAUGUGUUUGGAUUGCAUUUUUCCUCAUUUUUCAUGGAAAAAUUACUGUAGCGAUUUGAUAUAUGUGAGGGAAAAAGGUAAUAGAGAAAUGUGAUCACGAAAAAUGAUAAUAUUUUCCGACGGAAACAAGGCCAAUCCAAACAAGGCCAACCUGGAAAGGAAAAGGAAAGUCGGAGCGUAGGAUCAUGUAGUAUUAUAUUUAAGGGGGUCUGGUUAAAUUGCAUCUUUUGGAAUCAAUGAUUGUGUACCGUCUCAGGAAAAUUUUAAUCAUUUGUUGCGAUUAGGUUAGACCUAAAUCUGAGUGAGAAAGAUAAAAACCCUUAGUUUUACCUUUUUAACCUUAACCUCCUUCCCUUUUCUUUUUUUUUUUUUCUAACGCUCCUUUCUUUCCCCUACUUUUUCGGUGAGAUGAGGAUGUUAUGCUAUAUUAAAUUCAAUUAUCAACUUACUUUAAACAUUCGGAAUAUUAUACUUAAGUGGGGAAAAAAAAAGGUUUGAUCGGGAUUUCUGAUAACCCUUUGGAACUCAAUUUCUAGUAGUAUUAUACUAGAAAGUAGCCUAUGUAAUUAAAAAUUUUUAAAAAAAGUCCUCGGGAUUAGGAUAUGUGCACACUUACGAGAGAAUCCGAGCGAGGAGUCCGUAUUGACCUAAAAAUUUUUAAGUUAGUAAUUUUUUCGACUCUUAUUUAUAUACUGUAGUACUUAUUAAACAUUUUUACACAAUUAUCUCUCAAACUAAUAUGGAGCCAAUAACCCGAUACAUAAAUCUAACACUUCUAAUCUGGUGGAUGAUUAUAAUAUUUGUAAGAGAUGAGAUGUUACACAAUUAUGAUACUGUUGUACUUUUAGUAACAUCUUCUAUGCCAUCGAGGGUUCGCUCCCUACAUGCAAUAUGGCUAUGCAUGAAACUAAAUGUAGCAAGUAGUUCAUUACUCAAAUGCCAUUUUGGAGAAUUCCUAUUUGGAUGGCUAUUUUUAGGAGUUUUUUUUUUUUAAUGAAAAGAUGUACUGUAACGAUUUAAUGUACGUGAGGUAAAAAAAUAAUUGAAAAAUGUGUUCACAGAAAAUAUAAAAAUUCAUCCGUGAAAAAAUCACAAUCGAAAAUAAUAUGGGUUAAGGUCAAUUAGGGGGGGGGAGAAAAAAUGACUAUGGUACAUAUAAUUAAGCUGAUUGUAAAGGGUAUAAUUUUCUUUCCUUCUUUUUGUGGAGGGGGGGGGGUGGGUGGGAGUCGAAUUUAGGAAGAAGUAUGGAUCAUGAAACUCCCCAGCGUCAAAGUGAAAGAUUUUCGCAAUCUUAGCAAACAUGACUUUGAAUGUCUCCUUUGGAGCAUGCCAACCGCCUAAAACCAUGUGGCAAAAUUUUACACGAAUAACUAUAUUAUGUUCAAAGGAAAGAAAUCGCAGCCACUUUCGGGAAAAGGUUUUCAUGCUUCAUAUUUGUUGCUGUCGGUAUCAUUGUGCAAUGUCUGUAUAUAUAUAUAUAUAUAUAUGUGCGUGUGUGUAUCUCAGAUUCAACCAUAAUCUUCUUUCUCACACUGACUCACUGUGUGAGGAGGCUAUGCGUGUUUGCGAAGCAGUACGUACUACGUAGCAGCAGUAGCGUAACUCAGGAUAUAUGCACGCACAACUGUUAAUUGGUAGUGAGUGUAACUGUGUGACUGUGUGAACAUACUCUUCUUCAUAUAUAUAUAUGUAUAUAUGUAUCUAUGUAUAUAUAUAUAUACAGAGAGGGAGAGAGAGAGAGAGUCGCACACCACAUCCACAUUGUUGUGUUGUGGGGAUCAUGUGCUUUUCUGAUACAAAAGAAAAGAGAAGGCUCGAUCGAAUAUGCAGAUAAUUGCUUGCUUUUCCCUCCUGAGUCCUGAUUGCCUAAUCACCUAUCCAUGUAUAAAAACGUCAGAACUAAUAUAUUUAAUCUCUCAUAUGGAUGGACCACUUGAUGAUGAGUCCAUAUCUUAUUUCUUCUUGUUACAGACUUGUGUAGCUCGCUUUUAUUUUUAUUUUUAUUUUUAUUUUUGGUCUGCUGCUAAAGUUAAUUAUUUUCUUUUUACCUAAUUUUAGCUUUUGAUCAUAGAAAAUCUUUUGCGUAACGUUCUCAAUUGCUUUUUCUUUCGCCUUUUUUAAAAUAUUUUUAGAGCUAAAAAGGGGUCGAAAAUUAAUUUUUAUAAAAAUCAGAAUCAGUUGAGAACAGACCCUUUUUAUACAAUUAAGACUAGGAUAACUGGCAAGCGGAAGUUAAUUUUAGCAUUUGAGAAGGACAGUAGUUGCCAUUCUUCUUUCUCUUGUUGUUAAACGCUAGGAGCAUUAGGGAAAAAGGAAAGGAGGAGUUUGAUGUUUGCUACUUCGGCUUUAUUAAGGAGAAGAUUUUAUCUCUUGUCAUUUAUACAUCUUUUGAAGCUCGAAGGACCAAGAGUGCUCAACUAUAUCCCCAAUAAUUAUUGUCCUAGCUAGCUACUAGUAUAAAAUUGGUUACGUAUAUAUAUAUAUGCUUUUUUUUUUUGGGUUGUUGAGGAACUAUUGAAAGACCCCUUUGAAUGAAAUACCCCUUUGAAUUUGCAUCAUCAUCAAUAAAAGAAAAGAAGUGAAGGAAAAGUAGCAAGUAAGGGACUGCUAGUGUUUUCCAAGGCCAUGACACAGAGAAAGAUUGACCAAGAUAGAUAGAUGGAAUGGAAGCAGAGCAGACAAUGCAAGUUCCAUCUGCUUAGUACAAUCAAUGGUUUAUGAUGAGGAAUAACAAAGUCAAAUGGACAGAUACAUAAGAGAGAUUGAUUUGCUUUCCUUUUUACAACUUUAGGUGAUGGGAUUAACAUUCUCCCACUUUGUCUCCUUCACUCCCCUUUGUUUUUUUCCCUCUUUUGUUUCCUUUCACCUUUUUUUUUUUAAUUUUUUUCCCCUUCAUGUUCCUAAUGGGUGGAGGGUUCCUAUCUCUCCUUUUGUCUUGAGCCAUUGCUUUUUUCAUAGGGAAGGAAUAAAUGCCAGUGCUUCCUCAACCCCAGUUGGGCCCCUCUCCUUCAUCCCCACCCCCCGGUCCAAUCACAGUCCCCACCUUCUCGUGGGCCCAUCCUGUCUGGGCCGGCCCCAAAGUAGGGGAAAAUUUUUUUAUUUAAGCAGGUUGCGUAAAUUGAUAGAAUGCUGACAUGGACCUUUGCUUUGAUGGGUUUUGGUGUCGUUGAAGUGGAGACUUGGCCCCACCACCUUUAGCCCAUUUACACAUGGAUAUGAUAUGACUCUCCCUCUCUUUUGCCCUCCUCAUGACUCAUUGAGCCUUCACCUUUGCUUGUUUAGUACACUUGUUUUAGCUGUAGUAAUAGUCUAGUAGUACUUUUCUUCCCUUUCUUUUUAUCACAUCACAUAACCACCCUUCCCAUUUGCACUGUAUUCCAUUCUUCCACUGUUCUUUUCCCCAUAAAGAAUUUAACCCACAAACGGAAAUAGAUGCCAUGGUUGUAAACCCCUUCAAUUUGGGCACUGUCCAAGCACAAAAUAGUUCUUUUCACCUCAAACAUUUUAACCCUCAAAUAGAAAUAGAUGCCAAUCAUGCCAUGGUUGUACACCCCCUCCUCUUCUUGAUUUUGGGCAUUGUCCAAGCACAAAAUAGUAACUUCAGCCUUGAGACCGAGGAAUCAAGUCCAUUUCCAAUGUAUUCCUAUUUGGGUUGGGAUCUACCAUACAGAAAGAAUAUCCCCUGUGAUUUUCAAAUCAGGAUGUAUAUACAGCCAUGUGUACCUAUGUUCCCCCAUAUAUUUGUGGGAACAUUUCAUUCAUCAUAUUUCUCAAAUGAGGAUAUAUCUAAUCUACGUCAAGUAAGUUAUAGAAUGUGAAACGCCUUACAACUUGACUGUUCUUGAUUGUCAUUAGGUUAUGCGUGGCGUGCUUAUUUUUGCACAACUUUAGUGUACUAAGCUGCUAAAUGCAUCCUAUCAACUAUGGAUGACAGCGAGGGAGGCCCAAUUGAAGUGGACUAAUACUCUGCUAGCCUGAUUUAGGUACUCCAGAACCAACCAUAAUACUACUAUCGUUAACAGCAAAUAUUAGUUGCAGAAUCAAGAGCAUGAAGCCUGGUGACUAAUGGAUAACCAGUUUCAUGCACGAGACAAGGACCUCUCGAUCCGGACAAGAGAGUGAGACCAGCGCAUUUCGUUGACCAUUAAAGCGGCUGUGCAUUGAAGGCUUGAAUCAUGUGUCAAGAAAGAUUUCGAUGAUUCUAGUUGAUAAUACAGAACACAUUCACUGCUAACGAUAAAAAUUAGUCCCAUCUUCAAUGCAGGAAUAUUAAACGAAAAAAAAAAACCCAUUUUUUCCUUUUAGCUAAGAGAUUGCUUUGUAAUCCCUUCUUGAAUUCUGCUGAGCGAUGGUAAAAAAAAUUGUUAAAGAGUCCUUAAUAGUAGUAGUCAUUACAGUUCAUACUAAGUUUUCAUGUAAAAGUCAACGACAGGGAAGAAAAGUUCUGUACUUUUGACUUUGAUACAUUUUCAGGACGAACGUUGACCAGAACGAAACAAUUGAUAUAUAGGGCACGUAGUUUGGGGAGCUCCCAUAAACGAAGAGUAACAACAGUAAUCAUUUACAACUACCUAAGCAUUUUCAGGGCACAAUCAUGAAAUCGACCCACAUUUUUAGAACCAAGAAAGGUAUUCAUCAUAGAUGUUGAAUUUGGAUGCUAAGGACAAUUACUCAGCGGCAAAUUCGCAUUCAAAUGCACAGAAAAUGAAUGCACAUGCUUUCAUUGCUUAUUUUAGUUGGCAGAUGGGUGUAUGACUUAUCACUGAAUCUUUUAGCGAUGUAGCAUACAAAUUUGGGAAAGUUGCUCAAGAACUUUCACGCACAUUAGCAAUUCUCCAAAAUCGUGUUAGCUAUUGAUUAUGUACUACGAGUAACUUUUAGUGGUUGCGAUCAUUUAUUAUGCAUCUACUUUCACCUCAGAGGCGAGACAUUGCAUGAGCUGGUACUUGGGAAUAUAUGUCACUGGAAGACAUCAAGUUUGGCUAUGAUAAAUGCAAGGAAGACUGGCUGGCAUCAUCGAUCAUAGUCCUUUGUACGAUGCUGAGAAGUCAUUAUGCUUUGAUCACUUGUGGUUACAAGGAUUGGACAACUCUUACAGGUCAACCGCAGCAGAUGUCCAAUUCUCGUCUGCUCAAUUUAAAUCGAUUACACAGGAUUCUUUUCUCGUUGAUGGUACCCGUUAUUUGUUUGGUUUGCCAAGGGAAAAAAAAUAUUGUUCACAAAAAGAAUACGAUGUGGAAGUCAAAUUAUUUAUAAGCCCGUAUCUGUCACCUGUUUAUGCCUGGUCACGUUGAAGAAUAAUAGUAUGGGGCUUUGGGGCCUUUCCUGAUUUCCCGUUUCCAAAUUGAGACUCUUGGGCCUAUUUAAGAGUAAGAUUUAUGCUGGUGAGGAUUGGUCUCCAGCUGUUUUGGUUUGAGCUGCAGGCUCUUUCUUGAAGAACCGGGCUGCCCGCCAGUUCAGCUGUAGUUCUUGGUGAAACAACAGUCAAAAUGAAUCAUCUUUACCCCAGUCCAGAUUUCUCAUCCUUUGUUUCUUGCUCUCAUGUAAUUGUGCUAAAAGCAGCCUCGUAUGGUCUUAUUAUCUGCCCAAGUCACCAUUAUAUUUCGCAGAAGAUAGGACGUUUAGAAAGGGAUUACAGAAAGUGAAAAUUUUCACAAUCCUGAACUGCGGCGAAAGCACCCAAAACUACUAUAGAUGUCUCUAACUCUGAUAAAGGAAGAAAUUUGCUGGGAGUCGACAGGAGUUGCAGCGGUAGAAGGGCGAUCUUCUAAUUCAGUGGAAAGAAUUUCAUAAGACAGUCAGGGAAUUAGGUUGUUGAUAACCUUCCCUCUCUUCUCUCCAACAAAUCAAUAUAAAUAAUGAGACCCAUUAGAUCUGUAGACAUGGAUCUUAUUAGCAAACAUCAUAAUCCGAUAGAAGCAUCAUAGACGAUAUUUUUAAUCUUAGAAGCAGUGACCCUCUUGCAUCAUCCCCGCAACUGGGAGCGUUCGGUAACAUUGGUACUAAAUUGACAGGCAGAAGCUGAAAGUAAACUAUGGUAAAUGAAGAACACGAGGCACUCGUAUCAAAAAGCAGCAAGAGACGGAAAUGCAGAGUAAACUCAUACACAAAACAUAAGUAGUACAUUCGUAUCUCUCCAGUUACCAUCAAAUUUCCAGAUGUUCGAAGCACUUCAAAACUGUAGAUUCAUUUAUGUCAAUGCUUGGCUCACUUCCUGAUUCUUCAGCAUGAGGUGGUGAUUUUGCUAACAAGCUAUAAGCUAUACUACUUGGUAAUUCUCUCUUUGGGGUUGCUGAUGGAGCAGCAAAUACAGGAAUAGCUUGCCUGAUACGAACUGGGGGAGCCAUUCGCACAGGUCGAGGCUGCAUUGCUCGAGUGUGACUUGCAGAUGGUGCUGGAAGGGGUGGUGCAGAGUAAACUGGUACUGCUGUUCUGAUUGUAACAGGAGGAGCAAUCCCUUUGUAAGGUGUCCUGUACUGUGUAAUAGGAACAUAAGUUGCCCUCUCCAUGGUAGGAAGCUUGUGGCAGUGAACUGAACGCGCCUCUGAUGAAAGAGACUGUGAUAAUGGAACAGGGCUGUCAUUUGCUACUGCUUGUUUAUUCUGAGAAACACUAUUUUGGCAAAACAAGGGGAGGAUUUUAGAUGCGGCCGUGGGAGGACGCUGCGGACUUGAUGGCCGAGGCGGUGGAAUAAAAGAUUUCUUCUGAAAGGGAACAGAGGUUCUGCUACUGUUAGACAUAUGAAUCUUCUCCUUCAACCUGUAGUUAAGUAGGGCUCUAGCUAUUCUGAUUUGCUCCUGUUCAUCAUUAUUCUCUGGCUCUGAUGAUGAACUAGAAUCUUCUUGUGCCACUGAACCAAAAGAAAAUAUGCCCUCUUAAGUUCACCGUAAGUACCCCAACUAGUACAAUGAAAAUACUGGGAAUUGAUAACUGGAUCCUAACAUGUUAGGGAUCAAGCAUGGUGAUCUUUUUUGUACAAUAUGUUUUCAUAUAUCAAAGAAGUAAAGAUUUGUAGUAUGAUUCUUCAACAUGUUUGGUUCAUAUGCUGGGAGAAGAGAAAUUUGUCAUACAUGGGAAACAAUACCUAAUACUGUACAACUUUAAACUCCUAUCACGUCUCCCUGUGUUUCAUUUUGAAUUGACAGAACCUCAAAAUAUUUCUGCAUUUUAACAGUAUGUAAAAGUCCAGCUUAUGAAAGUCGAGCAUGCAAAAAGGUACAUGGAGAUAAAAGAUGGAUUUUCCCUCCAAUGUACAAAAGAUUUAUUUGAUAUGGCUGGAAGAUACAAACAUGUAAGAGAAUAUCCCUUCUAGAAGUAUUCAUGAUCUAAUGGAAAUUCUUCCAAUUCAAAAUGUUAAGAGAGGACUCACGUUGCUUCAGUGAUGACCAAGCUGCCAGGGCAGCAUUCUUCUCAGCUUGUUUUUUGUUCUUAGCAGGUUCUCCCGUAAACAUUAUUCCAGCCAGUUCCACUAUUCCUGUAAAGACUGGUAGGUGCCCCAGACCUGACCUGAAAGUUGUAUACUGGGGUAAAGGCGAUCCAACUCUUUGUGAAAUCUCCUGUAGGAGGUUUUUGUAGACACCCGUCUCAUCCUAACAUGCGUUAAACCGAUUGAGACCAAAACAAAAUUUCGAUUAGUCAUUUAAAUAAUCAUGCCACUAUCAAAAGAUGCUAACUAAAGUGAAAAAAAAUAUUUUGGAGAGGACAAGGGCUUGCAUAUUCCAGCAUGCAUAACACCAAGAAACUCCAUACUAAUUUCUUCAAACAUAUCCAUCUGGUACUCAUACAUAGUAUCUGAGUAUCUAUGCUUUUUUGAGAAUCUUUAAUUAUUUGCUUGGACUAUUGGCACCCAAAUACUGUCAAUGGUAACUACCUGCAUAGACUAUGAUCAUCCGUGUGCCAUCAAUGUCAAAUGGUAGAAUGUUAUAUGCACAAGCAAGCUACAUCUAAGAACCAGAAGCGUCAUAACAGAUACUACAAGUUUGUACUGUAUAAGAUCAAAAAUAUUAUGUUUCAGAAUCAGACAUGUGGCACGGUACACAACUCAACUUUCUUACUUACACGGAAAAUAAGACUUGGUUGAUUGGUCAUUUAAAAGCAAACCAAAUUUUCCAAACACCAGAUAGUAAAAUGACAGAUAUGCGCACUGUAUAUUGCUAACUUAAGGAAAACAGAGACGAUCUCAAUGAUCGUAUCUACAAAAAGCUGAACAUAUUCUACACAGAUAGAUAACCUCCUAGAUCCUUAAGAAAAGAGAAGGGUCCGGGUUCAAGACCUACCAUUUACACUUUAAAAAAAAAAAAAAACACUAGAUCCUUCCAUCAGCAGCUCUUUUUGAUCCAUUUAAGAGGAAAGAACCUCCUCUAGCUCUCAUAUAGAUUAGUCAGAAAGAAAGAAUGGGAAACUUGGAAGGUUCUACGUGCUCGAUUAGUUCUGAAUCAUAUAAUCCUGCCAGCCAUUAAACCUUUCCACUGCAUACACUGAGAAUUCCAUGACCUCAAAAGCUCAAGCCAGAGUCACAGAUCUGGAAUUAAAAUCAGCAGUAACUGAGACAUCGAUUUCUUUUAUGUUGAUUAUUGAACAUGUAUCCCGCCACGAGAAAUUACGUGGGGAAAAGAAUACUCUCAUAAACUUCAAAUGAAUACAUUUUGCAGGUCAUAAAGGGCCAACCAUCCAUGCUAGUGUUAAAUAGUCAUGUGCACACUAUAGCGUUGUAUGUAUCUAUAAAUACAUUAAAUUGAGGGAGACAAGACCAUAAAUUUGCUCUAGACCUCCCACAUGUGCCACCAUGACUAUUCUCCCAGCAUAGAGUAAUACAAAAAUUCAUCAUUUAAUGCUUGACCUGUAGUCUUUUUUUUUUUCCCCCAUAUAAAUAGUGGUGUAUUUUCUUGACUUCAUUUUAUCAUCCUUUUUCUGCAAAGAAGUUUCUAUUUGGUCUUGUUAUAGUAAUUUGCAUGCAGUUACCGGAAAAACGACCUACGCAAAAUAAAAUCAACCAUUAAUUUCCAGUCAUCACAAAACUGCAAGUUUACUUGGCAUGAAAUUAAUUGCAAACCAGAGAAUUCUCUACCACGUGACCAGCCUGAAAGUUGGCUAAUCUGAAUUGAAUACCAUAGUUAUUAUAGUUAGGUAACAGUGUCCCCCCAAGAUUUCAAUGUGUUCAUACUCACAUCAACGUCUUCAAUUUUUGCGCUUUAAAUAAAAGAACAAAAACCCAAAAGUCAGCAAAUUCAAUUGUCAAUCUUCGUCACAUUACUAUUUUAUAUCUUUGUUAAUUAGUGAAUCCGCCCAAAAUUCAAGCAAAACCCACUUCUUAAAAUGUCAUGAAUUGCUUAGAAAAAAAAAAAAAGCGUCUCCACUACUACUUUGAACGGUCUCACCAACAAUUCCACAACUCAAACCGUGUAUCAUGGAAGAGAAGCCAAUUUGGUAGCUUCUCCUUUCACACUCCUACCAGGGCAGGGAGGAAAAAAGGGUCUGAAUUAUCUAAACAAUUACCGUUUGACCAGAAUACCCCUUGUUCCAAGAUUGGAUUACAUUUGCAAUAUAGAAAACAGCUGUUUACCAACAUGUAAAGGCGAGAUGGGGGCAGUACUACUUAAUUAUAUUAUAGCACAAAAAAAAGGGUCACUCCCAUAAUCCCCUCAAAAGCUUCACUCUCUUUGUCCCAGAAUAUGACCAAACACCCGUCCAAAUUAAACUUUGCAAAGAAAAUCCCACUAAUCCGAGAAGCCCAGGAGAGGGCAUUUUCGUCAUUUCAUCAUCCGCACGCACUAAACUAAAACAACCAGAGCAAGUACAUCUGGGUAAAUAAAAUUGCCAGUGAAACCAAAAGGGGGGGGAAAAAAAAAGAAAACGAAAUUUCAAGAGUAAGAAUGGGUAUGCGUUUUUGUCAUCUCCUUGUCCCCAAACAAGAAGCUACGCAGCCAGUAGAACUACAAGAAGAAAAAAGAAAACUUGCAACGCAAUUUUUUUUUUUUUGUUUUGGUUUUGGGAAAAGAAAGUUUCUAAAAUUAGUUAACUGCAAAGACCCAAAAAAAGGGGAAAAAAAAAAAAGAACUUACAAUGAUUCUAGCAGCGAGGGAAUGAGAAGGAGCACGAGUGGCGAGAGAAUUGAGGGCGACCUCAGCAGCGGCGUGCUCGGCUUGACGGAGAGUAGAGUGGUAAUGGGGACUUUCGAACGUCUCGCCGUUAAAAUUAACGGAAGCCUUGAACCUGGGAGCGUGGUCUGGACCUUCCCUAAUGCAAGUGUAGGAAGGCAAGUUAAAGCAGCUUCUCUGCGCCAGCUCUUGCAGCUGGUUCUUAUACAUAGCUCCCUAAUAAGUACAAAUUUCUCUCUGUAUCUGUCCUUCGGGCUGGGGCGGCGGAUCAGAGAGUUUUAAAUGGGUUAUCGGGUCGUUAAUGGAGUUGACGAAGAAUGGAGGAGGUGUGCAUGCAGGAAGGAAAGGAAAUGGUCUGAUGGGUUAUGAUGGGUUCUGGGAAGGAGAGAAAGCAAGGUGGGGCUGGGGGAGGAGAGGGGGGGGGGUGGAAUGGAUUGUAGUCAGUCAGUGAUUUUUAAUGGGGAGAAUUAAAUGCUUGAUGUGGGGUUUCUUUCUUUGCGACGAGUGGGGAACUCUGGGAGUCAACCGAACCGAACGUUGGGCUUGCAUGUAGGGGUGGGAUGUUGUGAUUUUAUUUCAUUUAUAUGCGUAUAUACUUUUUUUUUUUUUUUUUCAAACCACCUUCAGUUUGUCAAUCCUUAAUUGUAUAUUUUGCCUGUCAUUCUUGGAUUUUAUGAAUUGAAUACUCCAUAUGUUGUUUGUUCAAUUUCUGACUUACAACGAGGCUGGACCAAUCUAAUUUGACGAUAAAAAUACGAGUUAAUAUUAUAUACAUUAAUCUUAUAUAUAAUGAUAGUGUUACAUACAUUAACGGGUAUGAAUACAUGCAACAUAAUUUUAAUAUGAAAUUAAACUCCAAUUCUUGUACAUUUGACUUGUAUUCUUGCUCACUAGUGUAUGCACUGACUGACAAUAUAAACAAAAUUAAUCCUAAAAAUAUUCACUUAAAUCUUAAUUUAGUUGUAUAGCUUGCAAAAUGUUACAUUAUUGUUCCUAUUCCUAAACAGCACAUGUAGUGAAAGCUCAAUUGGUGCAAGUGAAAACAUGUAAUUAUGCUACAUAGUGGGUUAUUCUCUAUAUUCAUCUUUAUGAAUAGCCCACAUGAGCAUGUGCCCUUCUUUGUCAGCAAUUAACAAAAAUCGUUGUUGUAACGUAGAGAGUUGAAGCACCACCAACUAAUUGGACUCAUUUUUAUUGUCCAGGAAUUAAAUUAGACUCUAUCUUAAUCUUUAGGGAUCAACUGCUAUUCACUUAAAUAAUAAUAAUAAUUUGAUUAUCGUUCCAAUGUUCUUAUCAACGAAUUGAACUAAAUGGCAGGAAAAUGGCUUUAGGACUUGUUGAAAGUCCUCGGUGAGUGGAUGAAUACUAGUAGCAGCAGUACUGAAUACACGCAGUUACUGCCGUAAGUUUUACGAUGUGGAUAAAGCUAUGAUGUAUGCAUUCUUCAACAGUCAAGGAUAUUAAUAACAUUACUGUUACUCUGGUAGAAGUUAGGCCAAAUCAUAAAUGAACCAUAUCGUGUGUCAUUUACACAUUAAUUUCGCAAGCCGGAGCUUGGUGCCAUUAUUGGAGAUGAAAUAAUGACUUAAAGGAAGCAAUCAUAUGACAUCAAAUAAUGACUUUCCUCACUUAAAGGAAGCAAUAAUACCUCGCCGUUAGUUUAAUAUUUUUCAUAUUAUGAUUAAUUUUAAUGCAUAACAAUUAAUCUGAAUUCAAAAUUAAAACCUAAAUUGUUCAUAUGUCUCGUGUCUGUGGUAGCAUAUACAUUAUUAGCAUAUAUAAAGUUAAUUUUUUUUUUGGUUUAACUAUUAAAAUAUCACUUCUCCUACCCCCGCCUCAGACAAAUUAGAAAUUGAGACCGUGAGCAUUUAUGUGUUUUCGACCACCGAUUACGAUCCACUCCAGUGCUUAGAAGAGAAAAAUAAUGGCGUGUCAAUAUCUAACUCGACUUAAUGUAUCGAUUCCCAUCCAUAAACUUGAAUCCCCCAAAGAAACGUAUACAUAUAUAUAUAUAUUGCCGGAACGGAACGGCUGCACAAAUCAUUCUCUCGACCACUUUCACAGAAUCAAAGGUCUUGAAUAACACUACUAGCUACUCUUUUGACUCCAAUAGCUAAAGGAGUCCCAUCAUUCCUAAAAGAGCCGUGGAAUAUUCAACGUGGAGAGAAGUCCAAAGUACAAAAGCAUCACUAUUAACCGCGUUUUUUGCCAAUGCCCGACUCCUCAAACCAUAAUUCUGGAGGACCAUUUUCGUUAUUAGUGGGGAACAACUUCAUUCCAGUCUCCGAAGAAGGUUAAGCUGACCCCCCAAAAAGCAGAAUAUAAAGUGCUCCUAAACGAUCUCUGAGAGGGAUCUUUUCAUUCUUUCUCGACAAAUUGAAAGGCAACUCAAUGUCAAUCAUGCGAACCGAAUGUCGACUGUCUCAAGAAAUCAGCUAAGAAGUGAGAUGCGUACUCUUGAUUGGCAGAAUCGAAAAGCUUCCCGAGUCUUGAAACCGAAAAGCCUGUCUUGUGAAACCGCAUAUAGCCGCCCUGCCAAGACAGAACACCAAACCGAGCUUGCUACAGGCAUAUUCCGCAAUGUUGAUUAGUAGAUUAAGAAGAAUAUACUCUAUUUCAUACCUUAAUAUACUGAAUAAAGGGCUACAAAAGGGUCAUAAUCUGAAUACAAAAAUGACUCUGCUACAGAAUUGGCAUAUAAUGCCGUGUGAAAAAUAUAAAUAUGGAAGCCCUAUAAUACAGAGCCCAUCAAAAAAUCAGGCUAGAUUUUAUUAGGACGAGGCAGUAAUGAACUCGAGUGCGUCCUGUAUACCUAUAUAAAUAAAGAAAUAUCACCACGAAAAAGGGCUUGCUCCCAACAGGAAAAUUUCAUUCUCUACGUCUUUCACCCAUUGACAAACCCGGUUGCAAGCUUUUAUAGCCAAAGCCU
rnacentral:lncRNA from 1 species